rnacentral:lncRNA from 1 species
ACGAGCGUUUUUUCAAUAAAAAUAAGGUUGUUUUAUGUGAUUUUGUUUUAGCUUUGGUUCGGAGUUAAGAAAAAAUUAGUUAUUUUAGGAAUAAGGUUAAGUUUAGGAUUAAGAUGGGGUUAGAAUAUUUUUAUGUUUGGUUGGGAAUUGGAGUUAGUCUAGGAUAGUGAAAAAUAGUAUUUGGUUGGAAUAGGUGGGAUAAGAAGGAUAGUGAGUUAUUAUGAAUAGAAAAUAAUAUUUGGUUGAGAUUUGAUAGGAUUAGUUGGGGUUAGCUAACCCGGAAUAACUCAUUUCAGGUGGGUUAGCUAAUCUCAUCCAUUUUUAGAAGUGUUUGGAAAUAAAAUGGGAGUUAAGGGGUUAUUCCACCCCUUAACUCCCAACCAAACGGAUUAAAGAAUUGAAAAACAAACAAACCAAAAUUUUUAUAAUUUAAAACAAUACGAUUCAUAAUUUUUUUAAAAAUAUAUUAUGUAUCAGUCUCAAAUAAUAAUCAAAUAAUUACGUCGACCAUCAUUAUUUUUAGAUUAAAGAUGUUUAACAUAAAAAUAAUCAUAAUUAUAUCUUUUUUUAUUAUUUAAAAAAUUAAAUAAAUAAAAAUAUUUUUUUUUAAAACCAAAUAUUCCAGAUUGAAUCAACCGAAUUAUAUUAUGGCUUGAUUUCAAUUUUAUAUUCUUUUAUUGCAAAAAAACAAAACUGAUCCAACUAAUGCUCGCUCCAAAUAGAGAAUCAAACUUUUUUAUUCCAUUAAAUUCUCUAGAAACCAUCUAGGCCAUGGACUGUAUUUAUUAUUAUUUUUUUUUGGCAACAACUAUUUCAUUCAAAUUUGAACAAUUAAAAAUAAAAUUUUCAUCUUUUUUUUAAGGGUUAAAUGCAUAUAUAUAAGUCCUUGCAAACAUAAUAAAUUAUAAAUAUAUCCCUAUAAAGUUUCAUAUUUAUAUUUUACUUCUACAAAAGUUCUAUUAUUUUCAAAUAUAUCCUUCUGAUUUAUUAUCGUUAUAGAAUUAUUUAUAUUUUAAGUAAAAUGCUAAUUUUGCUAUCACAAAUAUGUUCAUUCAAAAGCCACAACAGUAUAAUAUAAAAAAAAUAAAAAUAUCAAGUUAUUUUAUAAACUAAUCAGAGUUAAGUGUUUAAUCUAUUGUUAACUAAAGUUUUCUAACGACAAAAAUAUAUUGGAAAAAUUUUAGAAUUUUUACGGAAAUAAUAGUACCUUGGAAAAAUCACUGCAUGGCUUAUAUUUUACCUAUAUAAAAAUACUUAUUAAUGUGAGCAUCUGAGUAGGAUGACAAAUCAGAAUAUGCUCUCACCCUCGAUUUUCAUGAUCUUUCCAGUUACAACUUACAACUACAAAGAGAUUAAUAAUAAUGUAAAAAGGAUAAAAGUACAUAAAAACCCUCAUUAGAAUGUUAGGUAAAAUGGAAUGAUAUCUAUUUUCUAAUAAUAUAUUAAAAAAAAAGGUAAUCUUCAAAUAACACUCCAGUGGUUUCGUAUUUUCUCACUUUAGUAUUCUAUGGUUUAAAGUAUAUCGAGUUAGUGUUCUGUGGUUUCAUUUUUAUCUUUUCGUUAGUUUUUCCGUUAAUUUUCUGUUAAUAUUUCGUUAAAUUAUAUAUAAAAAAACUUCAAAUACUUCAUCUAAAUUUAUCAAAUAUUCACUUUCGUAUCUUUUAGUUUUAACUUUGUCACUGAUUUAACGAAAAAAAUAGUAAAAUUAAUAAUAAAAAGAUAAAAAUGAUACACUUUAAACCACAUGAUAGUAAAAUAAAAAAUUGUUAAACCACAUAGGGGUGGUAUUUGAAGGUUUUUCUAAAAAAAAAUUGAUUGUUUGUACUAACAACUACUUUUUUAAUUAUAUUAUUUCAAAUGAAUUUAAGCUAUGCUAAAAUUAAAUUUUAGAUAGAGCUUUCGCUUUAUGAAGUCUUAAAACUCGUUUCAGCUUGUCCAUGAAGCGCAAAUUUUUUUAUUAAUCAAAUGGGUGUUAAUUUAUUUAGAAUAAAGAAGCUAUUUUAGAUGUCUGAUAAUAUUAGCUUAGGCUAGAAUACUCUCAGUUUUUUUUUUUUUUUUUUGAGAAAGAGCUUCAUUCAUUAAACGUGAUGAACUAAGCAUACAUGGUGGAAACAGCUAGGACCUCUUAGAAAAGCCGAAAAAACCAAAGAAACCAAAACAAAAGGCCAAAAAUAAACAUGUAAAAGAAAAACAAAAGGAUGUAGCUAGGGCAGGAGUUUAUCAUGAAUCACAUAACGUCAGUCUAGUCCUUCGACAAAGACUUGACGCGAACAGUGGUCCGGCUUGCGUUGGGAGGUAUCUCACGAAAGAUAGUGUUGUUGUGCUCGGUCCAUACGACCCACCAGAUCACCGCCAAUUGUGUUAAACUCUUCGCUCUCGACACCGCAUUGGGGUUACAAGAUAUCUCUUUCCAUAGACGCCGAAUAUCCCCCGAGCCGAAUAUCAACCGAGUCCACUUCGCUCGCCUCUGUGCCUCCCUCACACAAUAUAAGGUAUCUGACAAAGACACAGUCACGGAAAAGGUGAUUGCAGUUUUCUAGAAACACCGCGCAAAAAAUACACUAUUGGUCCACAGGGCACCCUCAACUGGUCAGUCUAUCCGCUGUAAGUAAUCUCUUGCGAAGUAGAAUCCAGAUGAAAAUUUUAAUUUUGACCGAAAUUUUUAACCUCCAAAGAUGAUCGUACAUGGGGUCUCUGUAACCUGCGUCGGUGAUGAAGUCAUAAAGCGAUUUAAUCGUAAAACAUUAGUUAAAGUGUGAUUUGUGUGACAUAGAGUUCUAUGAGGAAAUAUUUUAUUUAUUUUCUCUUGGUUCAACUUAAAUAUUAUUUAUUUAUUUUUAAUGUAAAUUUUUUUUUUAAAUGAUAUCUCUAUAUUCUUAGGUCACAAUUCUUUUGGAUCUAUUAUUAGCGUUAGGGAGAUUCAAAACCAAAUGGAUCUUAAAAGAAUGUUGGGAUCUUCAACUUCAAAUUGCUUUAGCCCAGCAACAUUUGGCUGCUUCUUAUACCAAAUAGAUUACAAAAAAGGGACAAAAAAUUCAAAAUAAAUUAAAUUUGAAUAAAAAAUAAAAUGAGAUACUAAUGACUUAUUUGGAUGCCAAAAUCAAAUAUCCACAGAUAUUCUUCUUUGAGAUUACAAGUUUAAAAGUUUGAUUUUUUUACUUUUUAGCAACUCGUAUCAUUUAUAAUUAGUUAAAUAAUUAAUUUUUUUAUUUAUAAGACAAUUUUAUUUUAGUUUUAUGGUAUCCAUUUUGAAUGGUAUAUAUAUAUAUUUAUGCACAUUAUUAUUUUCUUGGGUAAACUUCAAAUACCAUCCUUGUUGUUUCGUAUUCUCCACUUUAAAGUGCUUCAAAUUAGUAUCAUGUGGUUUCAUUUUUAUCUUUUCGUCAAUUUUUUCGUUAAUAUUUUGUUAAAUUAUAUAUAAAAAACUUCAGAUAUCCCAUCUAGAUUUAUCGAAUAUUCAUUUUAGUACCUUUUAGUUUUAAUUUUGUCAUUAAUUUAAUAAAAAUAAUUAGUGAAAUCGAUAAGAAAAAUAUAAAAAUAAAACCAUAUAGCACUAAUGGGUGCGUUUGAUUCGAGUUAUCCUGGCAGGAUUACAGGCAAUCCUGCCAGGAUAACUAUGUUUGGUUAAUCCGCUAUGUAAUCUAGUCGUUAAUGUAGGAUUACAUAUCGAGCAGGAUUACAUCGAAAAUAUUAACGGGAGGGAGGUCGUGUAUCUUGCAUUACUGAAACCCGUUAAUACUACAUAUUAUGUAAAAUGACAAUUUUACCCUCCAACAACCCCAAAUCUAAUUAACAGUAUUAUUUUCAUCUCUAUCUCGCCUUCCCCCCAGCCCUCUCUCUCGCACGCCGCUUUCUCUCGCUCUCUCUCUCUCGACGUCUCUCUCUCUCUCUCUCUCUCUCGCACGAACACCUAUCAUCUUCUAUUGCGUCGUCCUCCCAAGUAAUCAUCACGAUCUCCUUUCCUCCAUUCGUUAUUUCCGCAAAAAAUAAUAUUCAAAUGACCACAACAAGGGCAAUUUUGGAAAAAACUAUACUUUUAUGUCAGGAUUACUAAAUUUUAUAAACUGAACCAAACGCUCUAAUGCAGCAUUAGUAGUAAUCUCACGCCGAAAUCCAAAAUACCUGGAUAUGUCGAGAUACUUUGUAAUAUUACAUAACUCGAACCAAACGGGCCCUAAAUUGGUCUACUUUAAACUAUAAGGUAAUAAAGUGAGAAAAUAUAAAAUCACAAAAAUGAUAUUUGAAAUUUUUUCCAUCAAAAAAUUUUCUUCUAAUGCAUCGAAAUAAAAGCCAAAUAAAACAAAAAUAAAAAAGAAGAAGAAAAAACAGAAGAGGGGCAAAUGAGUAAUUUCACACACAAGAGCAGCGGUGGCUGGGCUUUUCCCCUUCCCCUCCUCCCCCCCGUUUGUGGCUCUUAUUCGAUUCCGCCUCUUCUCAGGAGCUCUCUCUCUCUCUCUCUCUCUCUCUCUCUCUCUUCGCCAUAGAAGAGGAGGAAGAAGAAGGAACCACAGGGAAGAAGAGGAUUAUCACCGAAUCCAUCACCACCGCCACCAUUAAUGGCGUCGAGGAUCGCAUUCAAGCCCCUGGGCUCCCUCUGCUUCGCGCCGCCGCGUACCAACAGGAGCGCCGCCGCCGCCGCCACCUUCGGAUCCCCCAGAGCCUCCAUGGCCUCCACCAAGUAAUUAGAUCCCUCUCCCCCUCCCCUACCCCAUCUCUUACUUCGCACCCCGACGCACGCAUUGGUAUUUGGUUUCGUUUCGUUUCGUUUCUCGAUCUAAGUUGUUUGGGCUCUUUUUGGUACAAAUUUUGUUGGGUUUCGUCGAUUUGGUGUUUUUUUGGGUUAAUAUUGUUUGAAUUUGUUGAUUUGGGUUUCUUUUUUUGGGAGUGGGGGAGGUGGGCAAGGAUUCGGCACGCACCAUAUCCAUCAUAUGUGUCGUAUCGUAUCAGUAAGAUAUCGACAUGAUAUCUCCGUAUCUAUGAUGCAACUGAAAAUUUUUUUUUAAUUAGUAAGUAAUUUGUUAAUAAAGUUUAAAAAAUUUGAUAAAAAUAUUUAUUAUUGGUAUAAUUUGUUUUUUUAUAAAAUAAAUAUUUUAUGCCANCUGGCAUUGGCAUGGUCGGCAAGUUUUUGGCACGACUCCGUGCUAUGGUUAUUAAAUCCUUGGGGUGGGAAAUGUACUGAGAAAAUUAAGCAAUUUAGUUAACACCUCUUCCAUUUGUAUUUUUUUUAUUCAAAUUGUUUUAGGUAGAUAAAUUUAAUGCAAAAUGUAAUUUUAUUUACUGAAAACGGUUAAAGUUGUUAAAUUUAAUAAAUUACUAAAUUACUUUCAAAAUUUAGUAAAAUGUUCAAUUUUAGAUGAGUAGAAUUAUCUAAAUAAAGUGUUAAAUAUAUUACUUAUAUUUUCGGUACGUUUUUUCGAACUCUACUUUUUUUUAAGUGUUUAAUCUUGAUUUGGUUAACACUGUUUCGAUGGAUUAAUUAGUUGUUUUUUCCUAAAAAAAAAAUUAUUGUUCUUAUUGAGGAAUUGUCAAAGUUGUGGGUCAAAUUGGUUUCUCCUUUUCAAUUCAAUUCGUGCGGCUAAUUAAUUGCAUGCGUGUCCAUUUCAUCUCAAUUACGCGUAUGCUUAUCACUUGAGUGCUUCCACCUGUUUGUUGUGAUGUGUGAAAAAAACAUAGGUUUUUAGGGUUUUGACCUGCUCUUUAUAUGUAAUAAUGUAAUAUAAAGUAAUUAUUUGCUACUAACUUGUGCGUUUUUUGUCGGGUGGUGGACUCUUACCUUCCAUGUCGGUUUAGAUUAUUUUGCAUUUAGGGUGCGUUUGGUUCGCGUUAUCUUUUUAAGAUUCCUAGUAAUCUAAUAGGAAUAACAAAAUAUGACGGUGUUUGGCUAAACGCACUAAGUAAUCUAGUUGGUAAUAUUAGAUUUACUUGGGAAUAAGAUUCAUCCCAAAGUACUAAUCUCAUUCCCUUGAGGAAGGAUAGGUAUCCUCAUAUUAAUAGAUUGGAGUAAUCAUGAUGUGUCUAAUCUCUUUCUUUCUUUCUAUCCGCCGGCUAGUUGGUAUUAUUUUUCUUUACACUCUAACUUCAUAUCUCUCUCUAAGCUUAUCUUUUUUUCUCUAAGCUUAUCUUUUUUUCUCUAAACUUCAACUCUUUUUCUCUCUCUAAACUAAGCUCUCUCUCCCUCUUUUUUCCUCAAAUCUCAAUUCUCUCCCCCUUUUUUCCUCAAAUCUCAAUUCUCUCACUCCCUCUAAUCUCGACUCUAUUUCUCUUCCUAUUUUUUUAAUUAUGCUUUCUCUCUCUAACCUAUGUUCUCUCUCUNNNNNNNNNNNNNNNNNNNNNNNNNNNNNNNNNNNNNNNNNNNNNNNNNNNNNNNNNNNNNNNNNNNNNNNNNNNNNNNNNNNNNNNNNNNNNNNNNNNNGGUGACGUGCUUGGUCCACGUUGAUACGAAUGUGUUAGUCAAAAUUAACGUGUAGUGUGGGGCACUUGACUUAACUACUUUAAUUAAUAGGAAAAACUUUAUAAAUAUCAUUCGUAUAGUUUCGUACUUUUUUAUUUUAAUACUGUAUAAUUUAAAAUAUAUUAUUUUUAUAUUUUAUAUUUUUUUUUCUUUUUAUUAUUCUAUCUAUUAUUUUUUUUAUUAAAUCAGUGACAAAGUAAAAAUUAAUGAAUACUAAAGUGAAUAUUCGAUAAACUAUAGAUAAGAUAUUUGAAGUUUACCCCAAUUAAUAUAAUAUAUAAUAAUAAUAAAGAUAAUAAUUAUCUUCCGUGUAGAAAUAUUUUUUAGGUCUACUUCGGUUGACGGAGAAUCCAAAUUGUAUCUUAGAUGAGUCUAAAAAUGACUCAUUCUCUCACAUAAAUUAUGGUGUGGAGUCAAUUCCUUGAUUUAUGGUUUCCUCCCACAUAUAUUUUCAUAUACCAAUAAUAUAAAAAUCCAAUCAAACUAACUGUUUCAACUAGUCAAAUCAUGAUCAUGUCUAUAAAAUGAUUUAGUUUAAUCUUUUGAACCAAAUUAGUCAAAAACCGCUUCCAGAUAUUCGGACAAGUGGUUCAACCAUCGAACGUCUUUACUCAAAUUGACCAAAGUUUUUGUCAAGUCAUAUCAAAAUUUAAUGACUUUAACCAACUUAGCUUUCUAUCAGUGUAGAUUAAUCUUACAAAAAAUAAAACUUGAAAACUUAUAUCUACUUAAUUUAAUUUAGAAACCAAUAUUUGUUAAUUAACUAUGAUGCUAAAAUAAUAUUAUAUAUAUAUAUAUAUGUAUAUAUUUAUAAUAAAAUAAAAAAUAAUAGUUAAAUUUUAUUACAUUAUGUCGGUGUUCAAUAUUUAAUCUUUUUUUUUUCCUUUUUGAGAAAGGUAGCAUACUAUCUGCUUCGUUUAUUUCGUUUAGAAAUAAACUUAACUGAAAAUGUGAAUCAAUUAGAAUUCGAACUUAAAACCUCGGAUACCAACUACCAAAUUCUUUGUCACUUACGUUAGAGACAGUCAGUCUGAUUUUUUAAAUAUUAAUAUGAGAGAGAGGGAGAGAAAGAGAAUGACAUGUAGUUGAUUCAUCACUUGGAAUGUUGGAUGAUCCACGCAUGCAUGCACGUUUUCGCUGUUAUUUUUUAAAAAAUAAACUUAACUGAAAAUGUUUGGAACUUCUGAUAACAAUCACCAAAUUAUUUGUCACUUACGCUACGAUGGAUUCGAAUUUAACAAUCUUCCUUUUUUAGGUUGUGCCUAUGAAAGUAAGCUUCAAAGAAAGUUAGCUACAACUAGCUAGGUUUACACAUACUGCAAUUGAAGUGGAAGUUGAUGUAAUUGAGAUCUCUCGCUAGUGAUAAGAUUAAAGGGGGAAUGCUCCAGGUUGGGUGGAGAUGGUGUUAGAUGCCAUGGACUUAUCAUCGGCCCCACAUUUCGAAUCCAACGGCUCGCGGACCCCUGACCUAUCUCCUGGACCACAACAUACACACACGCGCACGCCAUUAGUUCAUUGUCAUGUCAUUUUAUCAAGCACAAGAAAAUUUAUAUAGAUCGCAAAGGUCGUAUCUGGGUGCAGAAGUUAAAGACCGGUACUCAGUGCGAAAAACAUCACCUGAGAAAAGUAUCACCAUUAGUCUCUGAACUUAUUACUCGAGAGUUUUACUUGGUUUCUCGAACAUUUGAAGUGUCGCAAACAUUUGGAAGUGUCCGAUUUGUGCAUUACUAACUAUUGCAGUACUCUAUGUACUUAUACAUCUGCACAUCAUAUUGACACAUUGCAGUACUCUACGUACUUAGGCAAUAUUAACUAUUGUAGUACUCUACGUACUAAUAUAUAUGCGUAUCAUAUUGGCUCACAUACAUAUGUACGAUCGCAAGAUAAAUAACAAUUUGCUAUAUAUUUUGUAUGCAAUGAUACCAAAUUAUUAUACAUCGAUCGCACGUAUAAUAAAUCGGCUUUAAUUCUCACUCUAGGUACCAAAUGAAGGAGUGGAGUGGGGCUUGCCUACAUUAAACAAGGUUGGUGUGUGAGAUUUGAGAGGGUUGUUGGAAAUGUUAAUUUUCACCUUAAUCCAUGUANCAUAUAUAGAAUUGUUUUACCUUGAUAAAUAUUUUGAAGAAACUAGUGCUCCUUAAUUUCCUUGUCAAUUUAAUUAUAGCUCCAUCAAUUUAUUGUCUAAAUCUCUAGUUAAAUAACACAGAAAAGGCUCGGUUAUUUGGAUCAGUAUUCGGUAAUUCAAGCUAAUUAAGAUAUAUAUUUUGGUUAUCCUUUGACGAAUAAUAAACAAAAAAAAAUGUGAUAAGCUAUUGAUUCCAUGUUAAUUUUGAAAAUUUUAAAAUCCAAACCCAAUAAUUUUGGUCGAAUUCGGAUCAGUUUUGUGUGUUAGCAAGUCCAAUGAUAUUCCACCAAGAACGCAAAAGAACCACUUAAUUUAAAAAUAGACACACAAAAGCAUUUUAUUUGUGGGGUCUCAUUAAUGGGUCAUAGUAUUUAUUCUAAAUUUUUGUAAUCUCUCUCUCUCUCUCUCUCUCUCUCUCUCUCUCUCAUGUGAGAAACAAGCAUCCAAAAGCUUAUUUUAUUUUCUUGAUAUGGAUAAUUCUCCAUGCACCCAAAUAAAAAAUAAAAAGUGUUGGGGUUUAUGUGCAACAUGUUCCCAAGUGUUUGUUUCCAUUGGCUUUUCCUUUGUCCAACCACUAUACCUAAAAUAUUAAGAUAUGGAACAUAGACCAAUUAUAUUACAAGGAAUCUGAGUACCUUGUAAAAGAGGGGUUAUAUAUAUAUAUGGAGAAUUGGAGAUACUUUAAAUAUAAUUUUUUAAUAAACACCAUUUUAAGUUUAUUUUAAUUUUCUUUUAUUAAAGUUACUGUAUUAGCCAUCAAUUAUCAAUUAUAAUUAAUAAAUUCAUAGGUUUAUCAGCUGAAAUUUUAAAUUAAUAAAAUUUCUAAUUUAAUUGAUAAAAUAGCUUAAAUGAAAAAAAAAAUGAAAAUGGUGAGAAUCAAAAAGAAAAAUUAAUUAAAAGGUCUACAUGUACUUCAAAAUAGCCUAGGAGGGGUUUCCUCACUUUGUACAUGUUUACCAAAAGUUGAUCAUCAUAAAAUUACUAUUUUCAACUUGCUACCCCAAUUAUUCCAAAUAUCCCCACCAAAAAUAGGGGUGAGCAAAUUAAUGAGCCAACCAAUUUGUAACAGACAUCACUAGAGUCCUUAUCUACUUUUUUUUUUUUUUUGGGCCACUAGAUGCUCAUUUCAUUUUUCCCAAAAUGCCCUUUUAAGUUUUAAACAACUUUGGUUAUUAUUUAUACUAUUAGGGGACAUUUUGUUGCAUGCAAUUGCAACUGCUCUGCAGCUGUAAAUAUAUAUAAAUACAAAUUUGAUAUUUGGGGCCAUUUUGUUGUAUGCAAUUGCAACUGCCCUGCAGCUGUAAGUAUAUAUAAAUACAAAUUUAAUAUUUGAUUUGAUAUAUUUAACUUCAACUAUUGAAGUAAGAAUUGCAGGAGGAAGUUCAACUGUAGUAGUUGGAACUACGCUCAAAUUGACCAUAAUUUCAAGUGCAGCAGUUGGAGAGAGUAACUUUAAACAAAAGAUAAGAUUACCUUCCUAAUUAUUGUUUAAAGAAAAUAUAUGUAUAUAUUUUUACAUUGGAGAUAAUCUCACCGUCAUAUAUAUAAAAUGAUAAAAUUUUAAAAAUUAUUUCUCACUUAUAUGCAACCAAAUAAAUUAUUUAUAGUUACAGCGAUUUCUACUACAUCGAACCAAACAUGAUGCAUAUAGUUACAAUUACUGCAUUUUCAACUGUAUACAUUUUCAACGACACUGUAUUUAUAAUUAUAUCUAAUCAAACGGUCCCUUAAUAAAACUAAUUGCUAAAUUUGAUGAAUCAAAGGAAAAGAAGAAGCAUCAGAAAGCUCUGCACUGAGUAAGGCUGAUCGAAUGAUUACAAAUUCUAGAGUAAAUCUAAAGUAUAAUCUGGCGAGUUAGACUCAUUCCUCUUAUGAAAUAUGGGGUUAUGGAAAUAUGCGGUGCCGGUCUGGUCGGGUCGGGUCGGGUCGGGUCGGGUUAACCUGAUGGUUCAACCUCAGGGGCAAAACAAACCGAGAAGGAGCAGGGGUAUUUUGGUAAUUUCACAGGAACCCACUUUCCCAGUUUCCCCCGUUUCGAGUCUGAAUGUGGUGGGACAGCAGUGGAGAGAGAUGCCCCGUCAUGCGCGAAAUCAUUUCCGUGCACCCGGUUCAUGAAUACACCCCGUAAACCACACUCCAACGAACUCUUUCACCAACGAACGGUAGAGAUGGUUUCCUGGAAUGAGAUGGAGGGCCGGGAGAGCUGCGGCGUACAGACCGAGUCGUGAACAGGGUCCAGGAAUAUUUUUAUUCCCCAAGCAGUAACCUUGGACUGGGCCCCACUCUUUCGCAUAUCUUCCACUGCUUGGACUUUUCCUCUUCAGCUUCUUCUUUCAUUUUUUUUAAUAAUUAUUUUUUAAAAAAAUCUUUUUUUUUCUCACCGAGCACACUUGGACUCUUCUCACGGCCCUUUUCUCUCUCUAAAUUUUGCUUGCUCCUGGUGCACAGUGAGCCACACUCUUAAACACCUUUACAAAGCGUAAACUGAUUGGCCCGGAAAAUAUUUUUAAUAAUUAUAUAUUCAACAUUAUCAAUAUAAUUAUAUUUUUCCAUAGUAAAAUCAUAUUAUAACCGACUUAUUUUGACAUAAUAUAUAUAAAAUUAUUUGUACUCUUUUAUUGUAAGCUGUAUAAUUAUUAUAUGCUAUCCUGAUCACAUCAUAAUCGACAUAUUUUGAUAUAAUAAUAAUAAUUUGUACUUUUUUAUUUUUUAUUUUUUAUUAUUCACUGUAUAAUUAUUAUUAUAUUAUUAUAUAUUACAAUAUAUACUAUCGCGGGUUAGAGUAUUUAGAUUAGAUUAGAUUAGAUUAGAUGCACUAUAUAUACUGAGAUACACCUGAUACAUCCAAUUAUUCCUUUCUCUCUCUCUCUCUCUCUCUCUAACCAAUGCAAAGAACCAAAAUCUCUCUCUUAUUGACCAAGGAAAUAAAUAAAUAGGAAACGGAAAGGGAACGCCCCUGUUCCCCUUCUCGCUCUCUCCUUUUAUAAAAACCUCCUCUUUUCACUCUCAAAACCCCUCCUUUUUCGCUUCAAUUUGUGUUUCCUCUUUUCAUUUUGCACAUAUUUCAGAUACUGGAACUUAUUUGGUUCCCCGAGCUUAACUGGUUAUGGUGCGUUACUGCGUUAUAUGUCGUUGUUGCUUUGUUCCGUUCACAACCAAGUUACUUUUUUUUUUCCCCUUUUUUUUUUGAUGGGUUUUAUGUUGGAGAUCCUUGGUUGAGUGUUUCCUGAUAUGGUUACUCCUCAAAAUUGGAUUUCUUUUUUUUUUUGAUUUUUUGGUGAUGGGGGAUUAACUUUCCUUUUCUGGGUCGUCUCUGUUUUUGCAGUUUUUGAUCGGAAGUUCAUGGAAGAUGAAGAAUUGGAUCUGCGUAAGUUGUUUUAUUGGGUGUUUUUAGCGUAAAGUUUGCUGCUUUUUGAAGAAAAAUUUGGAAUUGUGAGGAUUUGAUGAUUGCUUUGUGGCUACUCUUGUGAAUAGAUAUUGAAAUCUGAAAAGCUUGGUAGUUGUACCUCUCUCAUUUGUUAUGAUAGCGAAGUUGUUUGGGGUUUGUGAUUCGUAAAUACCCUGAAAAAUUGGUAACAAACUGGUUACAGGGGUUUUUCUUACUAGCUUUUUAGUUUAUUGUAUGAAAUUGUAUUGAGAACAAUUUUGAUAACAAGUUGCUUUUGUGUUUGUGAUUUAGAAAUGUCCUGAAAAAUUGGUAACAAAUUGUUUAGAUAGUUUUUUUCUUUUUUUCUAACAAGUAGGAAAUGAAUUUGCCCUGUUUAGUUUAUAAUAUGAAACUACACUGAGAUGGGAAAAAUUUUGGAGUGGGUGAUUUCGAAUUGCGACGAAAAUUUGAUUAAAUUCAAAUGCUUUGACUACCAUCGGUGAGAGAAUUUGCUCGAUUUCAUGGCCAUGUAUUGCUUAUUUUACUUCAAUUUUACAAGAAACUGUUGAUAUGUAUUGCUCGAUUUUUCCAAGGUUAAUUGUUAAUAUUCGAUAAGUAUGAACUUAUGGACAUGCACGUAUACGUUUUGGUUUGAUUUUCUCGAAAUAUUAUUGGUAUAGCUUAUUUCUCCCCUUUAUGUGCUCAAAUUUUGUUGCUAAUAUUUAUUUCGCUAUCGUUUUCUCCAGGUUCCUUUACUAACUGAUCCGUCACAUAGGAGAAUAUGCAUCUGCAGUAGCUUACCGGCGGCUGUUCUCCUUUGUGUUAUUUUCUUUGUGGGGAGUGCUUUGGUCACAUUCAAUUCCAAAGAGGUAAAUUUCACGAUAAUUAUGCACUAAAUGCAUUUUAUUAGUAUGCUUUGUAGUUCUCAACUGCGAAUGAAUUGCUAAUUUUGCAUUAUUUCUUGUUUCACUUUUCAGAAAGCACCAACAUGGCAAGCAGCUAAUUAUGUUGAAACCGCUAAAUCUCCUUUGCCGAUCACUCCGUCCGAGUUAUGCAAGGUUGUUUCAUGUAAACAUUUUAUUUUUUAUUUUUGGAUUAGUGUUUCGCUUUGAACUUCACAUGUUUUAUUCUAACGUCUAAUAUCGACACUCCUAUUUGGACUUUUUUGUUGUUUAUAGAAUCAAAACAAGCCUUUAGGGAGUGAACUAUUGCCAAGAGGCAUUAUCAGCGAGACGUCGAACUUGGAAAUGGACACCUUAGGGGGCUCUCCAGAGAAAAAGGUCCGUUAAAAAUGUUUCUUAUGAUAUACUCAUGAAUUUUAGUGUUUGUUCAAAUAUCAGUAAAUUUUUAGCACCUUGACUUUUAACCAAGAAUUUAGCUAAUUCUUCAGAUUAUCCUAGUCUUAGAUACAAUAAGCUAAUAUUGAAUCGAAAUAUUUCAGAAAAAUCCGUAAACAAUAAAGUCGUAAUAAUCUUAUAUGUCAACCGAUGCAUUUCAACUUAGCUUGUUAGUAACUUCUUCUUAUGAAUGUUCUCUAAUGAGAUUAAAUGAAACAGGGACAUGAGAAACCGUCAAAAAGCUUGUUAGCAAUUCCUGCUGGAAUAAAGCAAAAGGAAGUUGUGGAUAAAAUUGUUUCGAAGGUAAUUGUUAAUUUAUUAUUUCAUGUUCAUUUUUUUUUCUUAAUGUAUUGUGGAUAAUAAUAACUAUCUGAUUUCUUUGCUUUUUUCUUUUUUUUUUAAAUGCAGUUCCCUUCCGCUGAGUUUAUUGUGAUGCUGUUUCACUAUGACGGCGUCGUGGAUAAGUGGGGAGACUUACAGUGGAGUGAUCGCAUUAUACAUAUAUCUGUCAUUAAUCAAACAAAAUGGUACUUUGUUGGAUGGUCGCGGCAAAUCUACUAUUUCCAAUUUGUAUAUAUCUCUUGUGAGUAAAUAUUUAUCGUUUUUGAAGGUGGUUUGCUAAGAGGUUUCUACAUCCAGACAUAGUUGCGGAGUAUAACUAUAUAUUUCUCUGGGACGAGGAUCUUGAUGUGAAAAACUUUAAUCCUUCGAGGUAAAUGUUGCAUCCUUUUUUUUAAAUUUGGUAGUUAAACCUGUUGAAGAAGAGCUUUGAUUGGCUUAGUCAUAUAUCUCGGUCAUUAUUUUUGAUCAAGUCUACUAUGUUCAAGACUCAAGAGCCAUAUUUCUUGCAGGUAUUUAGAAAUAGUUAAAAAAGAAGGGCUAGAGAUAUCGCAACCUGCAUUAGAUGGUAAAAAAUCUCAGAUUCAUCAUCGAAUCACAGCUCGUUGGGGAAGAGGAGAUGUACACAGGUUUUGCCCUCUCUCUCUACGAAAUUUAAUCAAGUUUUCCUUUUCGAGCUCAUAUAAAUCAGUAUGAAAUUUUGUCUAACUAGAGUACUAACAACAGCGGAAAAUAUUUGUGUUUGUGUAAACAGAAGAAUAUACAAGUUAAAUGGCGGUGGGAGAUGUUAUGGCAACAGCACCGGCCCUCCGUGCACAGGGUUAACUAUAUAUUCCUUUUCAUAUGCUAUUUAUUUAUUUUAUUAUCAUCUUCUAUAUACCUCUUGCUUUUAACUACAAUAAAUUGUAAAUUACUUGAGAAUAACGCUAAUGCGGUAAUAGUUUCUGUGAUUUAUCUAUCAAUUCACAAGCUGCAAAUUUUUUCGAUAAGAAAUAAAAGAAAAAUAGAAUGUUGUUUACAAGUAUUUUCUAUCCUGAUCAAUUCUUAUCAUUCUUAUUUCCCUUUUUUUUUUUGUGGUGGGGUUUUGCAUGCAUAAUGUUAAAUUACAUGUACUGUACAAUUCUUUUGUUUGAUUUUCCCAUUCUUUCUUAUGUUAAUUAUUUACAGAUGGGUGGAAAUGAUGGCUCCUGUCUUUUCCAAAGCUGCUUGGCGAUGCGUAUGGUAUAUGAUUCAAGUGCGUCGACUAUUUCUCAUUGGAUUUAUCUUAGCCUUAUUGUGCAUCUUAUAUCUUAGAUCCAUGAUAACAUAGAUUCACAUGCGUAUGCGUAAUCGAACAAAAUUUUACUGAAGGCUGAAAUGCAGGAUAAUAUCUUUUUACUUCACCCCUGAUAUGUAAAACCUAUACAUUUCAGCCCCUUCAGAUGUCGCGAAUGAUGUAUAAUGUUUUCAUGACGAAAUGUUCUGUUGUUGCUUCAACAUCUAAAAUUCACGAUAUUCCCUAUUCUUUGUAGAAUGACUUGAUUUACGCUUGGGGUCUCGAUUAUAAACUUGGCUACUGUGCGCAGGUACGUUGUUAUAUUUUAAGCAUAGUCUUUCUUCUUUAAAGUUUUAUGCAAUAUAAAACAUACGAAAUCCUUUUCUGCAGGGUGAUCGGACAUUAAAUGUCGGGGUGGUGGACCGUGAAUAUGUAGCUCAUAUGGGUAUCCCUUCGCUUGGCGGGUUAUUAGAUGAGAAUAAGGUAAGAUAUCGAAAAUCUGCUCAGCUUUUAUAAAAUAAAGGUCCAUGUUAAAUACUUCUAAAAUGUGGCACGUACAUGCGCUUGUACAUGUGAUGCGGUAAUAAUAAGCAAGACACCACAGUACCUUGGCCGUCCAUAAACCGCUUUGUGCUUUUCAGAUCAUUGCUGGUCGAGUAUAAGUUCGAGUAAUACAUAAAUUUUGGUUGAAAUAUUCAUGUAGACCUGAGUCGAAGCUCUUUUAUACAGCUAAAUUCUUUAGUAGUUAAUGUGCCAUAUUCUUAAUUGAAAUUCUAUGGUUGAACACGCAGGUGUCGCCUGGAUCGACAACAUCUCAAGAUAAAGAUAGAUAUCGAGUAAGUAUCCUCAGAACUUGGCUUCCGAUCGACUUUGUCUAUGCAUAAAAACUUCUUUAUUUCUACAAUGUGGCCGCAUGUUUACCUUUCGUAAGUAGCACUUAGUUCGGCUUGCUGAAAGCGGUUUGAGUCGUUAAAUUUAACAGAAUCAUUAUUAACAUAAGUUGUUGAAUCCUUCUUUGUCGAUUGCAAAUCCUCUCUUAAACUCAACUAAACACGCAUCAAACACUUCUCUUUUUCGUAGGUGAGGCACCGCUCUUACGAAGAACUGAAGAUAUUCAACAAGCGAUGGCAAAAAGCUGCGGAGGAUAAGUGCUGGACCGACCCGUACCCUGAACAAGGGAAGAACUCGACGAACCGAUAAUCACAUACGCAGUUCUCCGUUUCCCCUUCGGCAUCCACUGAAUUUCAUAUACAAAGCUUCGGCCCGUGUCGUCGAGAUAUUAUACCAACCAAAAUCUUCGCUAAAUAGAAAUUUACAAACUCAAAUGUUUUCUCUAGGUAUAUAGGAAAGGAAUAUGCAGUAAAUGUAAAUGCAUGAUCCAUUCUUUCGCGAAUAACAUCGGUGUUUUAGUGUUUCAUAGCGAAAAAAUAACAGCGGUGUUUUAGUGUUUCAUAGCGGAAAAGUUUUGUGUAAAUGGCAUUUGUGUAUAAGGUUUUAUUAUCUUCAUCAUUUGCUUCUCUAGCAUUUUAGGAUAUUGGUGUAAUCAAAGAGUAAUUAGUGUUCGUAAUUAUAAGAGUUUUGUUACUUUGCGAGGUUUAAUUUCAGUAUUUAGCUUUUUCUCUCUCUUGUAAAGGAUAUUGAUUCAAUUGAGCACUUGUAAAGUUUAUUUCCCCUCAGUUUUUAUUUUUUAAUUAAAUGUUUUUAUUCAAACUUGAUGGUGAUUUUAUUAAUUUAAUGGUUACGCCCAUUUUUUUUGUUCCAAUAUUUUAAGAAAAUGUCAAUUUUUUUUAAUGUAAUCUCAGUGUUAUUUGACAAAAAUAAUCAAAUAAACGCAAAAAUUCAGUUUAGGUACCUUUUGCAAAGUACGUUACAGUUGAGGGGUUCCAUGCAAUUUUACCAGAAUUGGGCGGCGUCCCUUUCCGACCGUUGGCGCGAGAAGGGACGACCAGAGAAACCCUAUCCCCUCCUCCCCCUUCCCUUCGAUCGCAAAAAGAGGAAACCCUAACCCUGGCCAUGGAAUCCCGCACCAAAUUCUAUCUCCUCCCUCUCCUUCCCCUCCCAUGGCGAUCCACGUCGGAAUCUCCUCCACCUGCUCCCUCCCCCACCUCUUUCCCGGCCCCGGAUUGCGCCGCGAGAAGCUCGGGCUACGAUGCAGGGCGAGCCUCGGCGGAGAAGACGUAAAGACCCUAACUUUGAUCCCGUUGAGAUGGAAUUGCUUCCCUUUUUUGUUCUAAAUUUAGCCCUAAUUUGUCUUAUCGAGCGAUGGGUUUAUUUCGAUUGGAUACAUUGCAGGAGUAUUUGAUAGAUGCGCCGGAGUCGGUUGGAGAUGGAUUCGCUUUCAGUGGAGGUUAGUUUUUUUUUUUUUUUCUUUCACUCUGAUAUCCAGCGGAGUAGAAAAAGUUGGAACUUUUAGUGGUUUUGACUCAAAUAGCCUCAAAUUGGAUUAGGGAAGUAUGCUGAUGGGCCGAGCCGAUCUGAUGAGUGGUUUUCUCAGGGAAAAAUGGUAUGCUACUCUUUGCUAUCAUGACAUUGCUUUGUUGAGAUGUAAUUAGAAUUGAUUUUGGAUGGAACUAGUAGCAAAAAUGUAACCUUUUUUAGGCCUUGUACACAACUGACAUUUGGUAUCUAAAGACCUUAAAUGCGUCUGCUGUUAUAUAUUAAUACACUUUUGCUAUUGAUAGAGUGUUACAACAACAUUUUUCAGAUUAAAGCUCAUCCAGUGUAUGGAAAUAGAGGGAAGGCAAAAGAACCAAUUUUCGGUCUUACAAUGGGUUCCAGCUCACAAUCCUCGGCAGAUGUUUUCAGGUGAAUUCAGCAAUCUAUGUGGUUAGGAGGCUAUCUGCUAAUUUGGGGUUUACUCAGAAAACCCACAGCCCUUAAAUCCUGGUACUUAAAGCUGUAGGUCUCUAUGUUAGGUCGACUUUGUGAUUGCUAUAUAUGUGAUGUUAUUUCGCUCAUGUAUCUGCCUUUUCCCUUUCCUUCUAUAGGUGGUUUUGUGUUGAGGCUGGGAGUUCUUCCAAUCCUUCAGUCGUAUUAAUUCAUGGUUUUCCAUCUCAGGUAAUAAUAUUCUAGCGGGCAUCAUAAAAAAUGGUUUUGUCAAUUCAUUGGAAGUUGUCAAACAAAUAGUCUACUUAAUUUCUAGUUAAAAUAACUUGCAUUGAGAACUUAAUAAGGGAUGUUCUUUUCCUGCUAUAACUGUUGGAUGGAAUUUCUAUUUGCAGGCUUACUCUUAUCGCAAAGUUCUUCCCAUACUCUCUGAAGGUUAUCAUGCCACUGCUUUUGAUUGGCUAGGUAACCUUGUCCAUAUGGAUAUACACCUAAACUUGGUGACACAUUAGAACUUAAAACAUUUGGUUGUUGUAGUUUUCAAAUAAGAUUACAUUAGUAGCAACUCAAGAGUAUCCUACAAUUGCUAUAUGUUGUGACUAUUUGUUAUUAUAUUCGGGAAGGAUGUAUAAGUUUUCAACGAACAAUACAGAGCAGUUUAGUGACCCGCUAUACAGGCAUUCUACUCAGUUGCUAUUACAGUGUCAGACCUUUUGUUUCAGCCAUUUCUUCUCUUUGGGUUUAUGUUGAAACUCAUGUGUUCGUGAGGAAGUUGCACUUGUAAAGAAAAUUCUAUUUAAUAUCUGAUCUCAUCGUCAUUGCUUGCAUAUCUCACAAUAAGCAAUGCAAAAGAUUUUAUGUUACUCAGGUUUUGGGUUUUCAGACAAGCCCCAGCCAAAGUACGGAUUUGACUAUACUCUCGAUGGUACAUAUUCCUCCUAUCACCUGCUCAUUUCCAUGUGUGUUUCCGACAGAAACUAACUAAAGCUUAUUGAUUUUAGAAUAUGCUUCAUCCUUGGAAUCUCUUAUUGAUGUUAUUGCUCCAAACAAGCUUUCUCUUGUUGUUCAGGUAUCUUUGUUCCCAUCUGCUUACAGUGAACUCUGAAGUAUAAUUUUGUUUUUAAGUUGCGAUUCUUGACACAGAUCAAAACUGAAAAUUUUGCAGGGCUACUUUGCUCCAGUGGCUGUCAAGUAUGUGAGCUAUCAUCAAGAAAAAUUGAGACAUCUUAUACUUAUUAAUCCGCCUGUUAGUGAUUAUCAUAUAUCUUUUAUUUGUUGUCAAGCACAAUAGUUGCACGAAUAAUUGUCCUUUUCUUAUAGUUUUUUUUUAAAGAUAUAAUAUGUACUUAUACAUCCUUCUUGGUUUGUUGCUCUAGAUGAAUAUUUCUCUAACCUGCUGUUUCUUUUUUUCAACCCUUUUUUUUUUAUUGGCCCAUGUUAGAUAACCAGAGAAGCAUGCAAAGCUGCCUCAACACAUUAUCCUUAGUUUCUAGCAAUUUCUUGCUGGUGAAUAUUCUCCCAGGUAUAUUAGAUUACUUAUUCUUGCUGAUACCCCAAAUUGCAGCGUAUAUUUCAUACUAUCAGAAACCACAGAUGCUUCUGAAAUUUUGAAUUCCAAUCCUAUAGGAUCCGCUCAGAGCAAGCGAUAAGGCUUGACACAGCGGACCAUACAUAUGAAAGAGGAGGAUGCGAUGUUUAUAAAGGCCAUACUUAACAUCCGGUCUCUGGUUUUGCAUUAAAUGCAAUUAGUAGAGCCAUGAAGAGGAUCUAAAGGUAUCUUCUUUCCUAUAUUUGUAUUGCCAUUCAAAUCUUUGUUGAAUUAAGUAUAAUUGCAAAAGGACCGCUUCGCCACAGGCUUACUUUGAAGCUAUGAAGUGACACUAGCCGAUGAAUCCUGGAAAAUCCCGACAACUAAUUUGGGGAAUGAGAAUCGAUGGCUCGUUAUGAGGGCGUGAAAGAUUUUGUGAACGUUGAAUCAUAAACUAGUCGAGCUACCUAUGGUUCUCUCUCUUCUCUCUCUCUCUCUCUCUCUCUCCUCUGCGCAUGCACAACACGUGCACACACAGUCAUAACAAUAAUUUUCAAAAAAUUUGGAUUCCAUAUAUUUCAAAUACUCUAGAUUAUGUUAGAUGACGUUGAUUAUUCGGAUGCCUUCUCAUUGAAAAUGACUUAACGAGAAAGAAACCUUCAUACUUUUUCGACGAUGGGGCAUCCAUAUCCAAAUUCACACUACCAUAUUUAUCUAGAAGCAUUCUGAUGUGGCAUCCAUAAAUGCGUACUUUCAUGCGCUUCUUCAUGCAUUAUUGAUCAUGGUCACAAAUAUAACAUGGCAUAUGUUGUCGUUUUAUUUCUAUAACCCAAAAUACAUUAUCAAUGCGAUAACAUUUAAUAUCAAGCGGAACAAUGGUUUAAUACAUAUUGAAAAAGUGCGUCAACUUACUGCUUUCCAGUAAUGAUUAUUGGCACUGCAUUUCAGGGUAAGAUUUGUACUUAUUCUGCAGGCAGGUCAUCAUGCACAAGAGGAUUGUGGAGAAGAACUCGGAAGGUCAUCACGAAGAUCAUCAGUAAAAGUGUGUUAGAUUUUCUAACUUCGCUUUCUCAUUCUUUCAAGAAGGAAUAGCAAAUCCUGGAAACCAAAAGUUUUCUGCUAUACAUUUCUACCUGGGCUUUUCCAGCCAGUAAGUCAUGAUAAAAAAUGUUUAAUGCAGAUUUUCUAUUCAGCAUAGAAACAUUGAAACUUUAAGAGUUCAAUUUAAAUUUUUGUGCAGGGUUCAUUGGAAAUUUUGUGGAAUAGGGUUAAAUGGUAACUAUGAUCCUGGCAUGAAAUGUUAAAUUCCUGUGUUUGGAUGAUUGAAUUCAUGAUAUUGCUGAUGCUGAUUGCUUAGAAAAUGCAUGAAUGUACCAAAAUACUCUAAAUAAUGUCUUCUGAUGUUAUACAUCAAUUCGAUCUCUGUAACAAUUUGAAGUUUAAAGGCAUCAAUGCUGCAACAAAUUCAGUGACCAAAAUGAAAUUCACAGCAAGUACAGUGACAAAUGGUGUAAUUUUAAACUUGGAGACACUUUCAUCUUGAUAGAUCCAAGAGCCUGAAACCGAAAAAAAAAAAAAUGAAGAAAAAAAGAACAACCCAGACAAAUAUCAUGUAGCCAUAAAUUAUUUUAACUCAGAAACACAUGAUAUUUGUGUAGUAGUGAUACAAUCAGUUAAAUUUUUAAUAUUCGUAUAGGCAAAACUCAUUCACAUUUUUGCAAUAAGGAAUGAUGAGGGCACAACAUAUUCUUGAGGAGUCCAAAACCUAACUCUUGAACACACAUAUAUACCCCAACAUGAGGGUAAAAGGCCAAAUAUUAGUCUAACUAAUGAAACCUAGAGAGCACAUAGUAUGCAACUAGCAGUGCAGAGAACAAGCAUCCCAAAAGACCCUGCACAAAUAAACAACAGAACAUCAAUAUGCGAAGAAAAGAUUACAAUGGAAUUGAAUUCGAUUUUGAAUGUAUCUAUUUGUUUAAGAUUUUUUGUAUAAAAUUAAGAAGUACUUACCAGUGCUGAGAACAUCGGCAUGUAAUCCGUAUUCCCUCGCAAAAAUAAAUGAGGUGAUGGAUUGCGGCAGCGCAGCCUGCAUAACAGUUCAGCCAAAAUUGUAGCUCAAAAAUUUGUAUUCUUCUAUUCGGAGACAAAUGAAAUGAACUCAUCAUGGAAGAUACUUCUUUGCACUUAAUUAGAAAUGAUGAUACACAAAGGUCCUUUUAGUGCCAGGCAUUAAGUGUCAGAACCAAGAUAAAGCAAAUUGAUGACUGGGGAACACUAAGAACAGCAAAGUGUUCACUGUCGAAGAUAUCGGUGCGAGUUCUUAUCGACAUGGUUUAGCAUCUCCAAAAGCUUAAAGAUUUGAUGGAUCUUUAUUGUAUAAUUGUUUACACUCUUUAACACAUAUCUAUAAUACAUAGCACAGUUAAUGGCUUGAGUAAUCCACAAAGUUGUGUGUAAUUUACAGAGAAUAGAGUGAGAACUAGAGCUUUCGCUCCUAAAUACAAAUUGUAGAAACAGUUUUUAUAACCCAGAACAAUGAUUUCAACUAACUCAACUCCUGAAACAACAUACUGUUUCGUCUCAUUUGUUUCGUAUUCUUCCACUAUUAUUCGGUAUUCUUCAUUAUUUUGAUCGCGUACGCAUCGUUACAUAAAGCAGGAUAAUCCAGGAAUUAAAUGAAGUUAUAUUCCAUGUGGAUAUUAAUCUUCGAACGAAACGUGACUGAGGGAAUAAAAACUGCAGUGAGAUUUUUUUUUGGCACAGCAAUUUGAGAGCACAAGACAGAAUAAAUUCUGGAGCAUCAGCUAACAAGUUGCCAUGUCCACAUCUUCUCCACUAGCUUCUUAAUUACUUAGAGGACUUGUUUUUAUAAAAGUUGGCAUCAAACAAAUUACCUAAUUUAGUAAACAGUUGUUGAUUGUAGUAAAAGAAAAAAGGAAAAAAAAAAUUCACAUUCUUUUUUGCUGAAAACUUAUCAGAGAAUCUCAUCAACCUAAAUAGUUCUUUUGUUGGAAUAGAAGAAUCUAGCAAUGAAUUAAAUGAAACAAGUGUUAUAAUAUACAUACAUGUAAAUGUAUGCCUCCGGAUUGUACGCACACGUGAAUUAGAAAGAUUUUUCACCCGUUAAAAUAAUGUGAGACCCACACCAUUCAAUCUUAUUCACGUGAAUCUUACGACAGCCUCUUAAAUCGCACAGAUGCUAUAACUUUACGUACGCAUAAUUAUGUGUGGUAUUAAUCAAAUGAUCGUCGCAAUCUUAAGUCGCAUGUUUUAUGCAAGUGUGAAAUUCGAUCCUAGGAACUCAAAAGCAAAAUUAAGAGCAUUUUUGAGGGGUAUAGCAUCCAAAGAUAUGUAAUUAAGUUCCCAGAAAACUACAUAAGUGAACUGAAACAAUGAACUUAUGGAAGAAUUCUAGAUCGUUAACUUUGUACUUAUAUAUAUGAAAUUGAUCAUACAAAAACUUGUUUGUUUUUUUAAUGUGUUAUAUAUAUUUGUCUGUUGCUAAUCUCUUGAGUUCAUUUUCCACUAGUGUUAAAAAUGCGUCCCUUAUGUAAUUUGAUCUCUACUCAUCUCUAAUUGUUAUUGAGUGCACAUAAUUAAAUCCAUAUCAAAGAAGUCGUGCACUCUUAUGUUAAUUAAAACAGUUGCACUGAAUAAUUAAAAACCAAAAAAAAAGCAUCUAAUUUACAUAAGUAGAGUGAUUAGUAAGAGAGUGCAAAUUGAUUAAUCAAUGGUAGUAAGAGAUAGGCUACCUGUAUGAUGGCGACACGAAGAACGUCGCCGCGAAGGCCGACAGCGAUCGAUCCGAUCGCCAUGCUGCAGGGCCUGCGACGAACCUGAGAGCCAUCCGAACACCGUCAAGCUCGGCCGCACGCGAUGAUCUUCUCUUGCAGUGCAUGAAGAGGCCUACAAUUAAUCAAUCAAUCAAAACAGUUAAUAAGUGUACUUACUAAGUAUAGUUCUAAAAUGUUAGAAUAAACUUAAUUAAUUUGAUGAUAAGUUAAUAUUAAUGAUAAGAAUUAAUUAAUUAAUAAUUAAUUGGGUUGUUAAUAUUUCUCACCCAUGUCUGAACAUGGCCAUUCCUGUCCCUGCCCUGGACAAAUUAGCACUGAGCCCUCCAUGAUGCCUGGCAUUUCAAAGUGCCACCUAUGUAUGUAUAUAUAAUAUAUGGAUCCAAAAGAAAAUAAGAAAUUAAUUGGUUGAACUUAUUAUAUAUAUGUAUAUAUGCUGAUCCUUUAAAAAGGUACUAUUCAUGUAGUAUAGAGAAAUAUCAAAAUUACACUUAAAUAAAUAGAUGAACCAACACCCUGUGAAGCAUAUAAAUGGUGCUUAAUUAAAGAAAAAAAAAGAUUGAUAAUUAAUUAAGGGUGGAAAAACCUGAAAAUUAGAGAUAAUGAUCACGGAAGGUUAAUUUGUUGCACGCAUAUAAAGCUUAGAGUAGUGUCUUAGGAUGUAACACUGGCAAUAUAUUCUGAAAACUUUAUUCUAUUUCUUAUGCUUAUACAUUUAUAUGUUCUUAAUAUAGUGAUUUUUUUUUUUUUUCAAAAGGCUACUCUAUUCAUUAUUUAAUUAGUUCCAGAGUACUCUAGCAAGUAUAUAUAAUAUUUUAGCAUUUGUACAACAAUAGUGACAUAUAUGUAUCCCACUCUUAACCUUAAUGGUAAUUAUACGUACGUACGUUAGCGUUCAUAUAUCAAUUAAUACAAAAUAAGGCACCAACUAUUUUACUAGUAGGGCUGGCAAAUGAGCGAGCCGGCUCGCGUUCGCUCGAUAUUUGCUCACUCGAGUCGCUCGAAAAUUAAAUGAGCCGAGCUUGAACGAAAAAAGGCUCGAAUUUAUUCAGCCGAGCUGAGUAAUGGCUUGUUCGAAAUAGGCCGAAAGCCGAAAAGCUCGAAUGAAUAUAUAUAUAUAUACUAUAUAUAUAUAUAUAUAAUAUAUAUAUAUAUAUAAUAUUAUUUAAUUAUAUAUAGGCUGAGUGAAUAAUCUGAGUUUAGUUAAAAUUGGGCCAAUAUUGUUGGCCCAUAAAAAACAAACCCAAUAGACAAAUAAAAGAGCAAAAUUUUACUAAAUUUAUACAUUUUCCUUCUUCUUUCUUUUUUUCACAGAGCUCUAAAUUUCAAUAUAUUUCUCUCUUCUCUCUUUUCUGUUCUCACCCUAGGUAGCCAAGCCGGAAGCCCUCCAAAUUACAAAGUAGCAGCAUAUGUUUGCCGUUGCUAUCUUGCUAUUAAUUAUAGCUUGAAAAAAUAUACAAAAUAUUUUUAAAGUAAAAAAUUAUUAUUCAUAUAAAAUUUUAAUUUUAGUUAUAUAUGAUUGGAUAGUUUAAUCCAAUAUUUAUCUAUAUAAUUUAUUUAUUUUUGACUGUAUAAAUGAAAAUGAUAAUAUAGAGAUUGAAGGGGAAGAAAAGACAUGUGAGGCUGAAAAGAUUAGAAUUCAACUCAUAAAUUUUUUUUUUUCAUAUUAUAAUAUUAUAUUUUAUAUAUAUUAUUUUAUGCUUUGAACUAUUAGACAUAUUUUUGUAUUCAAUGUUCUAUAGAAUUAAACUAUUGAUCGUAUGAUGUUGAGAAUUCUAAGCGGCUCGUUUAGGGCUCGAGCUCGCUCGACUCAAAAUUAGGCUCGCUCGAGCUCGGCUCAAAUUAAUUUCAAUCCAAGCUUGAGCUUAAAUUUAGGCUCGAAAUUAAUUUCAAGCCGAAUUUGAGCCGAGGUAAGCUCGCUCGAGCUCGGCUCGUUUCCACCCCUAAUUACUAGAGCUAAUAUAUAUACCAUGAUCAUAUAAUAACUUGUGCAUAUAUAAAUAUAUGUUGAUGAUCAAUAAUAAUACAUACAUACAUACUACGUACGUAUAUGCGUACGUACAUACCUAUUUGAAAUGAAGGCCCAAGUGAUUCCGACGUAGCACGCGUAGGAGUUGGGGUUGACCGCGAGCUUGAGCCACACCACCUUCAUCAGUGACCAGAAAGAAGGCCUCGUUACGUUCGUCGCGUUCCCCUCCACAUCCUUCACUGGGCUCAGACCACCACCACCACUGUUUGCAGCAUUUGUGACGGAGAGCCCGUUGUGCGCCUUACGCAGCUCGAACACGAAGAGCAGCAGCGUGAGCCAGACGAUGGCCUGCACGACCGACAGCUGCACGACCAGGUCCUGCGCCCAGCGGCCGUACAUGGCGCUGGCGAGCGGAACGCCGACGACCAAGGAGUUGGUGAGGGUGGAGAGGGAGAAGCUCGUUAUGGACCAGGAGUAGCUCCCCUUGCUGCUGCUGCAUUUGGCCCAGGCGGCGAUCACGAGGACGAUGAUGGCCUUGGAGAUGGCGUCGGCGGCGAUGGCGCGGUAGUUCAUGGCGAAGGGGUCGGUGUGGAGGGUGAACUCGAAGGUGAAGAGGGGGAGGGUGAAGGAGGCGACGAGGCGGUUGAUCGCGUCGCACUGCUCCGGGGUGAAGAUCCUCCACCACCGCACCGACCCGUAGCCGAGGCCGAGGGCUACGUACAGCGGCACCAUGGCCUCCACCACCUUGUAGAUAUCCCCCCACCCUAUCAUCUUUGUCUACUUAACUAACUAUAUAGAUAGAUAGAUAUAUUGGUAGCUCCUCUAGAUAGAGUGUAAUGAUAUUUGAGUACUAGCUAGGGUUGGAUAUAUAUAUGGUUGUGAAGUGUAUAUAUACAGAUAUAAGAGUGUUGAUGUAUUUAUAUGUAAGUGGAAGAGGGAACAUGGAGAAUAAGAAGGAAAAGGAUUUAGCUAGCUUGGGUGUGUGUGUGUGUGUGUGUGUGUGUGUGUGUGUGUGUGUGCAUUGGAUUAUUCCAUUAAUGAGGUGGAUGGUAUUUUGAGCACCAUUUGGAAGGGAGCUAGGAUUAGGGUUAGGGUUAGGGUUUCUUGAAGAAGAGUGUGCAUGCAUGGCAUGAGAGAGAGAGAGAGAGAGAGAGAGAGAGAGAGAGAGAGAGAGAGGACACCUGUGAUGAAGCCUUAGCAUAAGGAAUCAGGAGCAGUGGUUAUUCCACACAUGUUGCCCUAAUGAGGUGCUGUAAAUUAAUUAUUGGAGUAAUCUUUUUGUAAUGUGAUGAAAUAAUUGAAUAGAGCACCUAAAUGAGAGAAUAUGGAACCUAUUCUUUCGCAUAAUGGGAAGCCUUUUUAGCUUAAUUCAUUUAGUUAAAAUAUAUAUAUAUAUACACUAUCGAUAGUAUCAAGCCCUUGAUACUAUUGAGUUUUCUACCGUUAGAUCUACCCUUUGAUCAUUUCCAUCCGUAAGAUUAUACUAUUAAACCAACCAUCCACUCAACCCUAGGGAACCACUAUCAUCCUAACCGCACAUCUUUUCAUUCAACAGCCGAAAACUCAAUAGUACCGAGAGUUUGGUACUAUUGAUAGUAUAGUAGCAUAAUUCUAUAUAUAUAUAUAUAUAUAGUAGAGCUAUUAUGCUAUCGGAAAUAUAGAGGAUCUUGUGCUUCCAAUUUGUAGGCCCUUAGAUCAACUCAUUUGAUCAUUUCUAACCUUUGGAUUAAUACUAUUACUCUGUGGGAACCACUCAACCCUAAGGGUACUACUCAACUCUGGGGGGACCACAAUCAUCCCAACUAUAUAAUUUUUGAUCCAAAGACUAAAAAAUCGGAAGCAUCAGAUUCUCUGUACUUCCGAUAGCACAGUAGCUCGACACUAUAUAUAUAUAUAUAUAUAUAUAUAUAUAUAUAUAUAUAUAUAUAUAUAUAUAUAUAUAUAUAUAUAUAUAUAUAUAUAUAUUAAAUCUCAAAAAGUAGAUGCUGAUUGUUUUGAUGGUCAGAAUUAAAAGUAUCACUAGAAGGAAAAACAUCCAACAUCUCUUUAUAAUGUUUUCUGUAAUAUAAUUAAGGAUCUGGAUAUAGCACGAAGACCGUUGUGCCGUUAAGCAAUCAAAUUUUGAGUUUAGUUGGAAUGCUUUUAGCAGCAUCAACACAUUUGUGCCUCAAGAAACCAAAGUGUUGAGUUUUUAAAUAUUUAGAACUCAAAUUUUGAGGUGUUUUUAGAGAUCAAAACUUAUAAAAUUUUUUAAUUUUUUUUUACUACAUCCAGUGGCUAUGAAAUUAAUGAUCAAAUUAAAUUGAUGAUCCGGAUAAAAGAGCAUCGAGUAGCAGGGAGUUGUAACUAAUUUUGACCCCUUAAAAGACAAAAAUACCAUGAUAGAAGUUCUAAAAAAUUAAAAUUUAAUUCACUAAAUGGUUCUAUGAAUGGCCUAUACAUUACAUCAAUUUUCUAUUAAUCGAGCAAUUUACUCUUCGAUCCGUUAUUUUUUAGACUAAUUGAUACUUCAGUAAUAGAUUUUCAAACCCUAUGAAUUUUUUUAAAAAAUUUUUGGGUUAUAAUGUUGGAAUUUAACUUUUAAUUAAGGUCUUUAAUCAUUAAAAAUUAGAUGCAUUAUUGCUGUUCCGGUGUAUGAUGUACGGAUACACCAGGUGCAUGUAAAUAUUUUAACCUGGGCCGAACAGCGAGGUCUUAAUGGGCCAUGAAGAGGCCCAAUAAGGACGAGAUGGGCUUUGUAAGGCCCGGCCUUGUAAUUGACACGUAAAAGGUUCUAGGUUUUUUAUUUACGGUGUCGCUUCGAGAAUAUAUAAAACUUUUAAUGAUAAUUUUAAUUUACUUUAAAAAAAAAAAAAAAAACCUUAUCUUAGGCCCUUACACUUCACAAACACUAAAUAGUGAUUCAAAUUUAUAUCCCAAGAAGCCGGGGAAUCGAGCCCCACUUCAUAAUGCGUGUAUACACAGAGAAUCGAACCUCUGAUCUCUGUCUCAACGAUCCUAGUAACAAAUACUGAGUUAGCCUUGAAAUUGUUUAUAAGUUUUACUGGUUAAUUACAAAUAGUUUCAAAAGUUCGACUUGAAUCUUAACAACUUUAGCUCCUAAAGCUUUUGAGUCCAAUCUUUUUGACAUUUUAUCAGCUUUAACCUCCUUAACAAAGCGUAACUUAACAUUGAUGUUUAUGAGCGUAACUUAACAUUGAUGUUUAUGUGGUGCUUCUUCAAGUAGGUCCACUAUUGACUUGAUUAUUAUUCUUAUAACGAAAUUAGUAUCGGAAUCAAAGUCAAACUUCAGGGACGCAAAUGAAAAUUAUCUUAUUUUUACUGUUUUGAAAAUGUUAAAUAAGUUUGGGGUUUGCACCUGCAUUAUCUCACAAGAAAGCAAGUAGAGCAGAGCAGGUGGUAGAAUAAACCCAAAUGGGCAAAUCAAAACAAAUAACCUAUUUGUUGUGCAACAUAAACAAGAAGAUACUAUCCAAAUAUAUUCCCAUCCUUUUUGCAGAGGGGAUCCAUUAAUGGGGCUCAGGAAUAAAGUUCCAAAUGCAGUUGGUGGUAUGCUGAUGAUGCAACCCUGAAAGAGAUUGAGAAAUUGUGGUUGUGCUCAUUACAACCCAAAAAAGCCACAAAAAAGAAGGAAAACAAGAGUGUUUUUUAAGAAAAAAUUUGUUCCUUACUCAAAUCCUUGUCUGUUUGCUUCUCCAGUUGCUGCUUCUCCUUUUCAACUCCCAGAAAGCUGCUGCUUUAAUAUGUCUAGGGUGAGUUGUGGCCAAGCAUCUGCUUUCAUAUAUGCCUGUAGAUAAUAUUCCAUGUAAAGAGAAACUAAUGCUUCUACUAGCAUCAUCAUCAUCAUCAUCAUCUGCACUAUUACUAUUAUUAUUGUUAUGAAUGUGGUGAGCAGGUGAGAUAUGCUUGGGAGCAGCUACUGUCAACUCCCAAUCCAAGCAGCAGAUGCUUUUCGGGAGCAUCUAUGGUGUCGAUGUCGUGUUUGUGUUUGCGCGUCGUGUUCGUAUCUGUCAAAGAUUUGAGAGAUAACAGUAACUUUGUACAAAUAAAAGCACGACUGAUAGCAGAUAAGAGUAAAACAAUAACCACGAACAAUUUGCAAAGCCGUUUUACAAACAGAGGUGGUCGACAUAAUCCUAACAUAAGGCGAACCCAAGCCAUACUUUUCCUCCUUGGGUUUGAGCCGUGUUCGCAAAAUUGCCACCCUAACUUCGUUAAUAGAAGCGGAUAUGAAGGAGCUCCAUUUUCAGCAGUUCUCACUGCACCGACAGCAUCGAUCGCGAUCAAUUUUGUUUCAAUCGAAUUCGUCAAAUUGCACACUGAUUAUUAGGAUAAAUGAUUCUACACAUUGAUUAAUCUAAUCAGGGUCUCACACAAGCGUAACACAACUUGCGUAACAUUAGUGGAAAAUUGACAAUGUGGGCAUAUGCCAGAGGUGGGGCUUGUAACAAGAGGUGAGCACUUAGGAUGGCCCCAAUCCUGCCACAUGAGCAUGUUUAGCACAUACCAAAAAAAACAACAUCAUAGUGGAUCUUGGAAGCAGAAAUUAAUAAAAUAUUAGGGAAAUGAAUACCAAAAGAUUAACUUUGCUUUUUAGGUUAGUUUUUAAAUACAAAGCAGUGCUUUCGAAGAGUUUUAAGUGAUUCCCUCCUAGUUUCGGAAGCAUUUAAGCGCUUUCAAAACUUUUAGGCCCUCCAUAGCAUCAAAGUGGGUAUGGUCAUGCAAUGUAUUUACACUUUAGGUCUUAGUCAUUAAGCAGAUACAAAAGUGCUUCUUAAUGCAUUAAGUUGACCAGGAAAAGAUCUACAAUUACUAUCAGCCAAAUACCACAAGAGGAAAAGGUAAGCAAGCAUGAUUUGCUAAAAGUUCUUUAGCUUUAACUCUCUAAUCUUGUAGUUCAUGUAUGUUAUGAUAAGCUGUAGUAUAGAAAAAAGACUUGACAAGUGGUUGAUGUACAUAAAGGAGUGUUUUAGAUUCAUGUUGCUAUUGUGGUCCUGCUUGGUGCCAAUUUUGCUAUGACGAGAAGCUAAAAUAAGCUUUUGAGCACGAACAGCAGAAGACAUAGUUUCAAGCUUAAUUCUGCUUCUUCUACAGUGAGAAGUUGUUUGAAUGUUUUGGAGAAGAAGUUGUUAUUGCUUUUCAAACAAUGUUACAAAGGGCACUUUUAAGAAGCUAUAGCAAGCCAAAGAGUCCCCUAAGGCCUGUUUAGCCCGACUGUGGGCCACGAUGUGACCUGCAUAUCAGGGACUUUGUUGAAUUUUGCUUGCAAAGCCCGUGCAACAUGCAGCUGCAGAAGAUAGGUAUUCCCUUCUAAACCACACAUUAGAUCUAUACAAGGGGCCAAAAGAGAACACAAACACAUUGACAACUAUAAUGAUUUAUUUGCUAUGAAAAAUGUAAACAAAUUACAAUAUCACUAUGAUAUUUUACAAAAACUUUUCUGACACUGAAAUCGAACAACAGCGAAAAGCAUGGUGAAGCAAUGUACAUAAAAUUGGGUCAAACUAUCACACAAACAGUAUGUGAAUGGAUCUAGCCUACAAAAUUGGGCCUCACCUGCCUUAUACUGUGGUACCUAGAAGGUUCAAUGCUGCUCCAUUCCCGUUGUCGUCCAUGGCACCGUCAGAAGUGAGCUGCAGAAGAGAAAAGGGGGGGAUUUUCUUUUCUGAUUGCAACAUUCGAGCUAGAUUUUAGUGCAUUGCAAGGUACUUGUAAUCAUGAUUUUCUAGGAUGACCAUUCCACCUUAGUGGUGAUAAUCCAAAAUUUCAUACACCAUUUAAGGCUUCCAAAGGAGCACAUAGUACUAGAGAUAAAGCCAAUUAGAUGAGGAAGCACAUGUGAAAAGUUGCCUAACUUUUGAUUUUAAGGGGGAAUUUCUUGAGAGAAAAAAGAGGAAAUAAUAAACUAGCCUUCAUGAAAUUUGUUGUUGUGUGGAAUAUAUGAGUAAGAAACACCGUUUUUUGACAACUUAAGCUUUUGAGAGAGAGUGUUGAAUAUAUAAAUAAGAAACACUGUUCUCUAACAACUUAAGCUUUUGGAGAAAAACGAUUAUUUCAUAUAAUCUAAUGUUGUGAAAUAACUCCCGUUAGCAAUCAAAUCGGUAUUAAAUAAGAUAUAUCAUGUCAUUUAAAAGUAUAAACCAUACAAAAACCAAUAUUAAAAAAGCAAAUUAAUUGUCACAAAAGAUGAUGCUGAGAAAAACAAUCCGGAAUAGCUGCUCAUGUAUAGUGUACUAAUCGAGUUUCCAUAAAGAGAUAUCAUCUAUACAUUAAAUCACGGAGUCAGUAAGUAGAUGUGACUUCAGUAAGGAAGAAGUGGUACCUCGCUAUAAUAGGAUUUUGAUAGAAAGAAUGGCUCUUGCUCUCGAAUUCCUCCAUUCUCAUUGAGAAUAUUAAUCAAAUCCUAGCCGCAGAUUAAUUAAAAAAAAAAAUGUGUGUAAGUAUCUCAAUCAUCAGAUCAGCAAUGCAACCCAUUACACUAUGUUCUGAUUUAGUAAAUCAUGCUGAAUUCAUAAAACUUCUGUUGAACAGACAUAACAACUUUACAGAAUAGUCAGGCAGUUACCUCUCCUGUCAAAUUUUCGAACUCAAGUAACUGCUCCACAAUUUUCUCUAGCACUUUACGAUUUUUCAGAAGCAUUUCUCUGGCCUUGUCGUACCCUAAGUCGUACAUCUGCAGAAAAACAAUCAUUAAGUAUGACAUAAUAAGGUAAUAGAUUUACAAAAUAAUAGAUUUACAAAAUCUCAGGCCUCUUCCACAAAGCGAGUGAUAGUACACAGUAAGUCAUAUUAUACGCGCCUUUUCAACUUUAGCUGCCAUCUCAAAUUCAUGGUUGUUCCCCAUACUCAGAGAGCCAACCUGAUCAAGUAAACACAGCAAUGUUAGUAAGGAAAAAGUAGCAAAAGAUAGCACAUACAUUUCCAAAGUAUUUAACAUUAAUGACCCACGAAGUCGUCAGACUUAUAAAGACAUGAAAAUUAUAGGAAUAGACUGCCCGCAGAGAUCUAAAACAAUCGAAUAAUGAAAUAAUAAAAUUUAUAUGGAGCAAUUUUAAAAGGGAUGCUUUAAGUAAGGUUCAAAUAAUGAUCAGAAGCUUACACUAAAAUGUUGGUACCAAUAAGCAUGUUUGCAUGAGGAUGAGGGUAGAAACUUAUUACUCGACAUUCUAUUUCACUUAUUAGCAAGAGGGCAUUUACUCAUAGGUUCCAGAUGGCAAGGUUUAUUCAUCAAGUUUGACAGAUUAUCUUAGCAAGUGGAAUAAUGAAGUCCAAAUUAUGCAUAUCAAAAAGGGAUACAGAAACUUCAUGCGCUUGUUUUUCUGCAGAAAGCUACACACCGCUUUGCUAGUGAUGUAAAUAGCAGGACUAUCAUCCGGACCCCAUCCAUAUUGAAUCACCAUGCGUGUUGCUAUCUGCAGUUAACAAAGACAUAAUUAAAUAAUCAAUUACCACUUUCAAAAGGAAAUUGUUCAAAAAGAAGAAAACAGCUAAUUUCCCUAUAAUUUAUAUUUGUAGCUUUGCAGGAUCAAGAAAAUUCAGUUUACCUCUUGAGCUUGCUUAAGUUCAGAUGAGGACAAGAAAUUUUCUUCGCCGAAAGGUAGUAGCAAUUGAGAUGCAAUAUAUGAACCAAAGCAAAAGACGAGCUUCUUUUCCAGGUAUGACCGUGAUUCUACAUUUCCAUUUACAGAGCCUUCAUUCUUUGCUUUUGUAAUCUUUGUACAUCCAAUUCCCUGAAAGGUCAUGAAUUGAUUAACAUAUCCGUGUUCACACAGAGCACACAAGUUAUAUGACAGACAUUAGCAAUUUUGCACUAAUUAUAGAAAAUCAAACCAACCAUCAAGUAAACAUUAUCACGAGUGUCAUACACACCACGACGCUCCUUUGGCUCUCAAGUUAUGGUACUUGAGGGGGAAAAAAAAAAGAGUUACUGUAUGAAAUGGAAAAUGCAGUUGCUGAAAGUACAAUUUUGAAUAAUUCAUUAAAAAGCCUUUUGCUAAUCACGAUUCUGAUAAUGCAUAUAUAAAGGAAAUCAAAAAUUUAAACAGAACAUAUGAAAAGCAAAAGCAAAACAAGCAAACCUCCCAUGCAGUUGGCUCAAGCCAUAUGUUAUCAACGAUGUCAAAAUUUGGUAGAAGAAGAGUAAUAAGUCCACGACCAGCUGCCCACACAGCAUGAGGAAACUUUGUCUCCAUUGACCACUAAGAAACAACCAAAAAAAAAAAUCUAAUAUUCAAAACAUUUUUCACAGGAAAUCAAAUGAAAUGCACGAAAUAGAAUAGAAACCUAGAGUAAGACCAACAAUAACUACUAAAAGGAGGAAUAAUACAGAACCAUAUAUUAUUUUGGUAAAAAUGUACAAACCUUACCUGAAUUAUGGAUCAUUUUGAUUUGGCUACCCAACCUUUCAAAAUUUUGAUUUUAUUACCCAACCUUUCAAUUUGUUUGAUUUGAUUGAGUAAACGAUAUUUUGACAUCAAAAUUUGAAUGUGUUGCUUAUCUUUAUAGAUUUAGUUAUUUUAAAGUCAAAGUAUCGUUGAUUGACUCAAAUCAAUCUAAUUGAAAGAUUGGUAGGAAAAUCAAAAUUUUGAAAGAUUGCGUAGCCAAAUCAAAAUGGUUCAUAAUUCCGGUUAAGUUCUAUACAUUUUUACCUAUUAAUUUUAACUUACAUCAAGAGGAGGGCUCAGAAGUUCAAUUCCGUUACUUAUCUGACCAUAGGGUUCCAUUAGAUCAACCACCUGCUGCAUAUCUUCUCUUGUCAAAGUCAAACCAAGAUGAUUAACUAUAUGCUUACUUAUUUUCUUGGCAAUUGGUGUUCUUCUCAGCCACUUGGGAAUGGUACUACUAAAAGUCUGCAAUAGAAUGACCGAAUAAGAAUUAGCACAAAUAAAGGUAAUCUGUAAGACAUUACAUAGUCCAAAUGAAUGAAUUAGAAGAAGAUAACGAUGUGAUCUACAUGAGAAAUAAGUAAUAUGAAUUAAGAUGUAUAAUUCUAAGAUUCUGAUUCUAUAGUAAUAGAUGUGAAAUUUUGGUUAUUUAUCUACACUAGGUUCAAUUUGAAGAUAAACAUAUUGAUUGCAAAAGUAGAACUAGAAAUUUUGGCAUUGACAAAAUUUAUAGUAGCAAACUUCUUGCCUAACUGGCCAAAGGCAUAAAUAAGCAACCAUGACUAGUAAUAACUAAUAAGAGAUUUUAGUUCUGGAGCAAGGAGUAUUUCCUACCGCAAACCAGCUGCAGUAGCUCAUUAGUUCAUCAGUGUCAAGAAACUUGCUCCUAAAUGCACUACCUUCGAGAGCCAAAGGAACAAGUUUCAAUUCUAUAGGCCUUAAAAGAGCUGUCUUUUCCGCAACCUGAGAAGGGUUAACAAUAAAUCAUUACGAGAUAGAUGCAGAGGUUUUCCUUUUUAUUUUUAUUUUUAUUUGGCAAACAGACACUCACUGAUACGAGCAUUGUGCAAAUACUACUGCAAAGUUGGUACUUGUGUGCAUGACCCUGAAAAGGGUAGUUGCAUUCAUGCACCUACCAAAAGCAUAUAUGCAAAUUAUCCCGACAGGGGAAUGCAUGCAAAUGAACAAGGUUUUCAGAAACUAGCUGAAAUACCACGUUUACAAGGGCAUAUACGCAAUUUUGCAUAUUUGCAGGUUCAUAUAUGCAAACAAAAAGCUUGAUGCUUGAACAGAUUUUUCUAUCCUGUAAUGAAUUACCUUCUUCAAAUGAAAGUUUUAAAGCACCACGUACCUUUUUCCAAUCAACAAAAUCAAUCAAUUCUUUAUCCAUAGUUUCCUUCGCUGCAAACUGUAAUAUCUUUUCCCUUUCCAUUUGAGUUGGUCGUUGGAGAUGCAAUACUCUAUCCAUGCGGCCUGGUCUUUUCAAUGCUUCAUCGAUUUGUUUAAGAUUUCUGGUAGUCGCCAUCAGAAGAACUCCGUCUUGAUUCUCAAACCUGUAAAACAUGAUUAAGCUAGUUAAACUACACUAUUUUGUGCCAAGGGGAUGAAUAGAAAGUAUGGCAAUCACUUUCAUUAAAAGAGAAGCAACCAAAAAAAGCAUGAAACGCAUACGGUUAUUACCCAUCAAGUUCCACAAGAAGCUGAUUAAUAAAUGCCUCAUGAUCUUGCUUCGUAGUGUGGAUAAAUUGGCCUCGAACACCCGCAAAAAGAUCGAAAUCUUCAACAAAAAUAAUUACCGGUGCCUGCAAAUAUAGGCCAUAUUAUUUCCCCAAAGUUGACAAGAAAGAGAUAAUGCUAAGAAACAACUAGUUAUGGAUAUCUCAUCAAAAGACAAAAGACAUAACUGAAAAGAAGAAUAGAUAAAGGUAGUAAUUUUCAGCAUACCAAAAUAAAUAUUGCUAUUAAAUUGUACUAAUGAAACAUACAACCUCUUAAGGUCAUUCUGAUAACACAGUAAUGUCAGUGUCUUAAAGACAUAAAUGCUCAGAGACACAUCUUUUUAGACUUGGUGAACGAAUUGCAAGUAAUAAAAAAAAGAUUAUCAUAGAAAAUAUUAAGCAAGAUUAGAUAACAACCAGAUCCCUAGCUGUCUGGAAUAACUCCCUGACAUUGGAUGCACUUUGACCAACCCAUAAACCAGCUUCAAGUUGAUGAGCUUUGACCUCAACAACAGGAACUUUAGCUUCCGCUGCUAUGGCUAGUGCAAGCGAUGUUUUCCCUGUUCCUCUCUCACCAACAAUAAGAACUCCCUGCACAGAGUAGAAGAGGAAAUUUGUGAUUGCUUUCUUAAUGAACUUUUGAUGGCAAUGUCAAGCUUUAUUACCUUGCUAGGGAGGUCAAAGAUAGCAAAGAAAAAACAAAUGGCUAAGUGUUAUAUAAUUAUAUUGGGGAACCCAUGCUGUACAUUAUUCAAUGCCGGCCGUGAAGGAUAGAAAGUUUUGAGAUUAUAAAACACCAUAACACAGUAUAAAAAUAAAAUUAAGCUGUGGACUCUGACCAAAGAUUAAAAAUAAGAUGCCACAGGUAUUCCCUAUUGGAUAGGUUGCCUAUAUUUUUUAACUACAAAUUGAACAAUAUAUCACUAAUCAUUCCAAUGGUGAUGAUAGCUCAUCUAUCUCAGGACUGAUAAUGAAUGAUGCUUACAGUGUGCAUCUCAUGUUGCAGAAGAAAAUGAAGAAGAAGAAUUUGUUUCUCAAGAAGAACCUUGUUAGUAGUAAUCAAAUGUUUCUGCAAUCCAACGGUGAUGCAAAACUCUUAGCACACGAAUACUGGAUAAGUAGUAUAUGUUAGCAAUUCAUUUUAGGAGAAACAAGAGGAAACUGCUAAUGGUAUACUGAUUAUUAGAUGCUUAUUAUUUUCUUUUAAAUAGAAAUUUGGAUAGUUAAGAAACCGUACCCUUGGUGCACGAGCUCCUUUCUCCUGAAAAGCAGUUGGGUUUCGUAGACAAGUCACAAUGUCAUUGAUUUCUUCUCUCAUAGAGUCAACACUUGCAAAGUCUUCUAGUCGUAUUGGUGGAUUCUUCACCCUCUGAAAAUCAACCAAAAACAAGCAAGUAAAUUAACACCUGGAUGUUAUUUAUACGACAAUGGAGAGAAAUAAAAAAAUUGUUGUCACCUGAUUUUGUUUCAAUGUAUCCUACCUUCAUCUGAUCAAAUGCAGUUCUUAUCGGAUCGAUUCCCUCCUUUUUUCUUCGAAUCCUUCUAAGUAAUUUGUAUUGAAAAUAAAAUUUCUGGUUGCACACAAAACAACUUUGUUUCAGUAUCUUGCAAGCUAAAGAAACUAUAUGGGAGGAGAUAUGAGUUUAAGGGGGAAUUAUGAUAAACUUAAAUUUGCCGGUGCAAAAUUGCAAUUUUUAAGAUUUGCAAGGAGCUAUUUUGAAUUCUCCUAGUAAAAAAGAAAAAUUGGAAAAACCCACUGCUUGCUAGCCAGAAAUAGAUAAAACCAUGAAAAGGAUAUCCAAGACUCAAUAAAUGCCUUUCUGUUACAAAUUUCCGAGUUUCAGAUUAAAGAUCUCGUAUAGCAAACUCAUACCACUCUUCGAAAUUUCCGCAAGUUCGGAUCUCUGCGCAAAGGUCCAUAUCCUAGAAGCUUUGGAAUCUUCCGCUUUAGGUAGCAGAACACAUUAAACAGAACGUACCCAUAUAUAGCACUUCUUAUUAAGAACCAAAGAUACCACCGAAUGCUAUUGGUCUUCCUAGAUCUGUAAUUCAUUUCCGCCUCAGAUUGCCAUUUUAGAUACCAUGUUGUGCCGACGAACUGAUAGGCUUCUUCAGGCCAAGCCAUCCCUAAGCUCAUUCUUACCUGAAAAUACAGGGGCGCAACGUAAAAACUGAAAGAGGCUUUUACAAAUAUAACACUGCAGAAUCUCUAUUUACAAAUGUAACCCUAUAAAAUCUGAAACUUAAAUAUACCCCACAAAAGUGCAACUUCUAGCAAAUUAAGGUUUUAAGGGAAUAUACGAAGUUAAGGUUUUGAGGUGCAUAUCUGGCAAUUCAGAUUUAGCAGUAUAUAGUAGAUAAUUUAGCAACAGUAUAAGUAUAAACAGCUCAAACUGAGGGCAAAGUACAUCAGUAAAAAUGAAAGAAAAUAGAAUUAGGUCACUUAAACGCAAAAUACAAAUAUACAAUUGUAGUUUCUACCUGCUUUGGAAUUAUAAGCUCCACAAGAGGAAAACCAACCACGACCAUGAAAUCAUCAGUGAUAUUCUUAAUCUUCAAGAAAACCCAUGCCCUCACAUACGAUACGACACCAGAGUUCCACAAUCCAAUCAAGCACUGGGAUAAAAUUCUUGUUACUAAGAGAAACUGUUGACGAAUAUCUAAUUCAGACAAAGGAAUCCACAUCAACUGAACAGCAGUUGGAAUGCCAGAUGCCAGCAUUUUAAGAUACAUGCCAUCAAAUCCACCAAAUUCUUCAAAAAGUAAGUCAAAUUCCUGCAUUGAGAUAUAAAAAGAGACAUGAAAUAUCUCGAGCAAAUAACAAUAUAGCAUGGAGAGAAAACUCGCCAUUUUGGAAAAGAGAGCCACUUAUUUUCUGAUUUUGCAAGUUUAGUCCCAGCGAUGCAAUUUUGUGAGGAUAAAGUAUGGGUGAUUUUAAAAUCACCAGGAUGUCAUUUAAAAAGCAGAUCAAAUCAAGCACUGUCAUGCCAUUUUGAAAUCACUGAUGCAUAUAUUCAUCACAAAGAGGCUACUGGCACUUCAGUCCAUUAUGGAAUAUUUCAGUCCAAAAUUACAAAAGCGAAAGAAGUGGACUCAAUAUGCAAAAUCGAACAAAGAGUUGAAUGUUUUUGCAAAAUCCCAAAAAAAAAAAAAAAGAAAGAAAAGAAAAAAGAGAGAUAACUGACUGAACCUUGAUGUCCACAUAAUAUUCUCUAUCAUCACCCUUAAGUGCAAGAUACAUGACACCCCAAUCAUGCCUAAUUCGAGCACUUUCGACUAGCUUCCUUGAAACAGCAUAAGGAACAGCAACUGGAUCCAUUUCCCAUCUAUUUCUUUCAUCAUUAAACCAUGUCUUAGUCAUCACCCUUUCUCUGUCCAAAAGGAUUCUCUCCUACAAAUAAUCAUAUGUAUAAACUGUAAAAUAUCAGAGACAAAUAUCAGACAUGAGACAAAAUAAUAGCACAAAGUACAGCUAACUUUAAAAUACUACUGCAGUAAAGUAGCAAAGUUCUUCUAGAAUAUUUGAAAUUCAUACCCAAAAGAAAAAAGGUUUCGGGGUAUUUUACUUAUGUACAUGUAUAUUAGUAUAUAUAGAUAUAUGAAACAGGGAAAUUCUGAUGAUGCGGCACCAUCACAUACCAUGCAACUAUUCUUAGUAAUUUCACAAAGUUCACUCCUUAUCUCAGCAUCCAUGCAAGAGUAAAGUUCAUGGACAAGAAAGUACCUGCCUCUGAGCCAUAUAUUCCCUACCAAGAUCUGCAUUUUCCAAUAACUCCCUUUUCAAUUUAGCUUUUGCUUCCUCCCUCCACUUCUUCCAACCAUGAAAUAAGUGUAAGGUAACAGCUUUAGGAACAACAACAUCAUUUUCCCCAAAUCUCCAUUUUAGCUCAACUUCUGGAAAUCCCUUGAGCACUUCCUCCUCUGGCGUCCUAACAACAAAGCGCUUUUCAUCCCCAAAUUUUUUCAUCUUUCGUCUAAUCUGAUUUUCCAGAUUGCUUUGCAACUUUUUGGACUCCUUGAGUGCUUCUUUUAUUUGAAGGGAAAAAUUUCGAGUGCUAGUAUCUGAAUAAAUUUCAAAGUCCUCAGCUUCCAGGACCGUUGGCAGUAGCAUUUGUUCCCAGUAUUUAUUUUGUGCUGCUUCUAGAUCUUUCUGUACAUCAUCUCUGGAGAGCCUACUUGGAAUGCUCUUUAGCACACUGCAACCAUAAAUGAUACAUGUAGAUUUCAAGGUCAAAUAGACGCUUCGAAGAGUGUACGGGGCAGAUCCUCUUACAAACUAACUAACUGAUAUUUGAAAGUAGAUGAAUAAAGCCAAUCUCCCACAAUCAAUUAUUAGUUACUCCAAUGCACAGAUAAAGACUAAGCAGAUCUUAUAGUAAAACCCGAGCUUUCGAUUAAGAUUCAUUUAACGAACAUUAGUUCGUAAAGCUUAUAUAUGCCAUAGGACAUGUUAGUAAAUGUCUUUCAUUAGGAAAAUGAAGAGAAGGAUGUAAUGCAAAGCAAAUUUACCGUAUCAGCCCAAAUGUAUAAAAAAAGAAGAGAAUAAAGAACAAAAUUAAUACUCUUGAUUUCAAAGGCAACAAGAACUCGAUUAAGGGAAACUAUUGCGAUCCAUAUGAUUUCCUAUUUUGGUGAAGGAUAUCAAUUUAUAUUAUUUACGCAAAAAAUUGAUAUAGAUGAAGACUUAUUUAUCAGUAUUUGAUAGGUCUCAUGCACACUUGUAAUGACAUUAUGCAAAAAAUCAAUAUAGCUGAUUUCCGCAGCAGCAGAAGUUCCAGGUUUUGAAGCUCAAAGUCACAUUGCAUUCACAAAGAAAAUAUAAGGCACUGUAGAAAGUGGUCAGCAAGUGAACACAUAAUUGUGCGUGUUCGCAAGUAGAAUCAUACAACUUAAUGAGUACAUAAUUCCAUUAAGAAGUUAAAGCAAUGCGUAAAAGAACUCUCAACGCAUUCUCUCAUACCUCUCGCGAUCCUUCCGUCUCAGUUGAUUGCUAAAUCUCUCCACCAAGAGCUCACUCUCCCUCUCAAUAAACGAGAGCUCCCUAAUGGCAAUACUAAAUGUCAACGUCUCCCUCCUCGAGAUCCUAUCCUCAAUCUCCCCAAUCUUCUCCCAUAACCCAUUAUACUCCUUCUCAAACUCACCCAACCUUCUCUCCAAUAUCUCCACACUCUCCCUCACCUCAUCGCCCCCACCACCACCACUCUUCAACAGCCGAUCCCUCUCCUUCCUCGCCGCGAACGCCGCCUCCAUGACCUCACUAGACUUCUUAACCAGCUCUUCCCUGUCCUUCCUCAAUUCUCUCAGCUCCGCAUUCAAAUUGCCCAAAACUUCGCCUUGGACCUCCUUCCUCCUCUCCUUCACCUCCUUCAACGCCUCCCGAACAAUGUCCAGAUCCCCUUUCGACGCCCUCACCUCCUCGAUCCUCUCGAGAAGGACGGAAACGGCAGAGAGAAGCUUUCUAGUGUAGAUUGAGAACUCAUGGUCGCUAAAGGUGUCGCCUUUAUUGGGUUUGGCGGCCUCCUCUUUCGUGGCGACUGAAGCGGGGGCGGCGAGAGCCCGGGAUUGGGCGAGGGGGGAGGGGAGGAAGCCGAUGGCGACGGAGAAGAGGAGGAGGGCGAGGGGUUUGCGGGCGAGGUCGAGGAUGGUAGUGGUGGUGAUGGUGGUGGGGGGAAUUGGCGGGGAAUGGUGUGGGGUUUGGAGGGGGGGAAUGGAUGUGGGAGGCGAGAUGGAGGCGAGAGGAGGCGGCGGCGGCGGUGGCGCGCGAGGAGGAGGAGAGGGAAGGGCGGAGGAGAGGGGAGGGAGAGAGAGAGGAGAGGAGGGGAGGGGAGAGGAGGAGAAUGGUGGGAGAGGGAUGAGGUAUGGAUUCCAUGGGAGGGAGAGAGAGAGGGUGUUGUUACAGCUCCAUUGUUGCUCCUUGUUGGUGUUGUUGUGCUUUCUUUUGGGUUGGGGAGGGAGAAGGGGGAGCAGAGUGGGUUUUAGAUAGGGCUUUUUUGCAAAAUAAUUCUUAAAAAGAAUUUAAAAUUUCAAAUUGAUAGAAGAGGGCUUUAUAUGGGACUGGCCUUUAAACCAGACCUUGAAACUGAUUGAUUUGUCAAAUUAUAUAUGUCCAAUUUACAGUUUUUGGUCAAAUUAUCAAUAUGUAUUUUUUUUAGGGGAAAAUAAAAUCAAAAUCACCAUUAGUUAGGAACCAUUUAUUUAAAAUAGAAAUAUAUAUAAAAAAAAAAGGACUAAAUAUUAUUCUGAAAUAGAAAACUACAAAUUUGAUAUUACAACAAAUGAUAAGAAUUAUUGUAUCAAUAAGUCCAGACCAAUGGAAUGUGCGCAAAGACAUAUCAGCGUGCCGUUCCGCGCCACGAUCCUCACAACAAAAAACUGUAACUAGCAUUUUUUUCAGAUUAAAUCCAUAACUCAAUUUCCAUGUUCUAAUUAUAAAUUAUCAUGAAAUGCUCCAAAGUAUUAUCAAACUUGAACACAAGAGAGUAAGAACCAACAGUUGAACAGUACACCAGCAACACACUUUGCAAAGUGAUACAGUACUUGUACAUCCAAGAGGAAACAUCAAAACAUGAACCCUUCUCUCUAACACACACACCCCCCCUAAACAGUAUCAAAACACCAAGCUUCAUCUAACAGAUGGCAUUUCAUGAUAAUUGAAUUAGAGAGAAUCUACAACCUCCCUCCAAAACACCUUUUGCCAACAAAAUAACAACAAAGUAAAAAAGAAGAGUAAAGCAUAGUAUUUUGUAUCCAAGUUAUCCGAAAACUAUAGAGCACAUUUGGGUUCAAAGUUGAACUUCUCUACCAUAAAUCCAACUAAAUGGUAUUGUGCCCUUUUGCUUCGCGCGCCCUUGAGCUCUCUCUUCCAACCUUCUAAUCCUCGGGGCCAGAGUGCACACGUAGUCUUGCGCCCUCUUCCCUUCCCCAGAAAGGCCGGUUAGGUCCGCCACCUUCCACCUAACCACAAGAAACUCGAGUAUGUCUGCGUAAUCCUUUGCAGUAUAAACUCCUAACCGCUGGGCCACUGUUGAGAAGUGUUCAAACAGAUUAUCGUCGUGUCCGUCGUACAUUAAGUGGGCUGGCAUCGAUAUCUUCUUCUUCAUCAUGUCAGCUAGGGCAAGAACGGUACCAUCUGGGUCAAUCUCAAAGAGCUUCUCAACGAUCUUGGUGUAUGCUGUUUCGUGCCGCUUUUCAUCUGAGGCGAUUAUGCCGCAUAUUUGGGCCAGUUUUAGGUCACCGUGCUCCUUGGCAAGCCGCGCAGUGUUCCCGUGGGAGAUGAAGGUGGCGCGCUCUUGGAACGAUGUAUAAAUGAAGCCGAGAUAGGGGCUGUUCUCCGUCCUAGGAUCCUGACAAAGAAGAAGAGAAAUUACAUAUGUACCCGUCAAAAAACCUGUAAGUUCGUUGAUGCCUUCUAAAAGUCGAAUCUAUUAUCAAUGCCCUCGUAUACAAGAAAUACUCAAAAAAAGUGUCCUUGUAUAUUAUCAUAAAUAAAUGCCCCUGAAAUGUGCUUUUUGUUUCAAAAAUGCCCAGUUAAGAGAAAGUGAAAUGAAAAACCAAAAUUGUAAAUUAGAAAACCAUUACCAUUCCAGAGCCAAUCAAAUAUUGUAUCGUCUUCUCAAUCUGCCUCAUAUCAACUCUGCCGGUAAGAUAUAAGUACUUAUUCAGAAGGUCUCCAUGCCUAUUCUCUUCGGCAGUCCACGCCCUUGUCCAUAUAGCCCAUGAUGUGAGGCUCGCGCCGGUCUCAUCUCUUACACCGUCGAGAGUAUUAAGCAUCGUUUGAUAAGUAGGAAGUGCCUCUUCAGUAACCAUGUCUCCCACUAAGCAAACAAAAUAAUCGUCAGGGAUUUCCUUGGCUCGCUCUCUAAGUUCUUUAACUUCCUCGUGGAAGCCAUCAGAGGAAGGAUCGGGGAGAAAAUCCUGAGGUUGCCAGCACUUUUCAACAGGUUUGAGGUGAACCAAGAUGUUAUUUUCAGCCCAGUCGUCGAGGGAUUUGAAAAUUUCGAUCUUUUGUGGUGGCAUUGAGUGGGUGACUUGGACGUGGACCUCGCGAGGACUGAAGGGAUUUUUGGCAGUCUCAAGCCUGGCACAAAAUUGUAAUAUAUAUUAGAACCUCUUACUUUUACAUACUGAAUGUCAAGAGGAUCUAAAAAAGGAUUGUUGAAUCUCUAAUUUUAUACGAGCACAUAGCUAUGUAACAAGAAAAGGAGAAGCAUUUAUGGAGUUCAGAUAGAAAUCAGAUAUUGAAGCAAAGAAAUCAACAGCAAUAUUAUACAAAUAAGGCGUAAAGUAAAACUUGAUUAGCAGGCUGAAUAAGUGACAUUCAUGAUUCCCGAAGUAAUCCUUUGGAAGUUGGAACACCUUUUUGACCAAAGAAGAAAUAAUAAGAAAACAAGCACCGAUGAACAGUUUUUAGUUUUAAGAACAGUAAAAAUAUGUCGCAAAGUAUCUAACUGUCACAAUGAAUAGUUGAGUACGGAGGGAACAAGGCAAGUGGUGAAACAUAAUAAGCCCAGUCACUGUGAUGACACAUAGGCCUCUCGUCAACUCCCAAGCGAAGAGCUGAAGUUUUUUUUUUUAGUAAAAAAAAUCCUUAAUGGAUACGGGGAAGCUCAUGACAGGCUGACAUGCCAUCAGGUUAUUUGGCAUCUAGUCAGCAUAGAGUUUGCCGGUAUUACCGAGAAGAUACCCGCCAUACAGUCUAUACCGUUUACAACAUAAAUUGCAGUUUGCUAUCCCUGCUUACAAAGCUCUAUCCCGUUUGCCUGCAUUUCUGUAAAUAUUUUUCCUCGUUGGCGACCUAGGCAACUAAGAACCGUCUAAGCAGCAGUGUGCAAGUUUGUCUCAAAUAAUAAUUGGUUCUAUACGUUCUGGAAUAUUAACAUGCACAGCCAAAGCAACUGAUGCCAAAAUAGAGAUUUGCAGUUAACAAAUCCCAAAAAAAAAAAGAAGAAAAACAAAACAAAACCGAUGUUCUGAAAUAUUAACAUGCACAGCAUGCAUGCGAACAAGCAUGCUGAAGCAAAACAUGCACUAACACUUCUGUUAACCGAUACAAGUUUCACCCGCCUCCUACUUUGGCUCCAAAAGUGUUGUUCGAGAAGGGCUGUUCGCAGAAUUGCUAACAAUUUUUUCAUCAAAAUUUUCCAGUCACUUGCCCCUUUCUUAUUGAAGCCCCUCUAACUGCUCCGCACUACCUCCCCCACAAACACAACUUUUAAAUUAGAGCUUCUAUUUUUCUAGCCAAAAAGCAUAUUAUAUUACUAUAAAAGAACAUUAAGGGCGCGUUUGGUUCGCACUAUGAAAGAUUACUAGAAAUAAAAAGAUGACCGAAAAUCUUAUUCAUAUUCAUCCUAUCACAAAGAAUGUGGCAUUACUGUGUUUGGUUCGUACGGUCAUAUUAUUUAGUCAUGUUAUUUAAGGUUACAAAAAAAUAUACAAUUUAUAUAUUUAUUUCUUUAAUUAAUUUUAUAUAAUGCUAUCAAAAAUUUUAACCUUUUUUUUUAAAAAAUGAGAGAGAACAUAGGUUAGAGAGAGAAAGCAUAAUUAAAAAAAUAGGAAGAGAAAUAGAGUCGAGAUUAGAGGGAGUGAGAGAAUUGAGAUUUGAGGAAAAAAGGGGGAGAGAGAGCUUAGUUUAGAGAGAGAAAGAGAGUUGAAGUUUAGAGAGAAAAAGAUAAACUUAGAGAGAAAUAUGAAGUUAGAGUGUAAAGAAAAAUAAUACCAACUAGCCGACGGAUAGGAAGAAAGAAAGAGAUUAGACAUAUCAUGAUUACUCCAAUCCAUUAAUAUGAGGAUACCUAUCCUUCUUCAAGGAAAUGAGAUUAGUACUUUGGGAUGAAUCUUAUUCCCAAUUAAAUCUAAUAUUACCAACUAGAUUACUUAGUGCGUUUAGCCAAACACCGUCAUAUUUUCUUAUUCCUAUUAAAUUACUAGGAAUCUUAAAAAGAUAACGCGAACCAAACGCACCCUAAAUGCAAAAUAAUCUAAACCGACGUGGAAGGUAAGAGUCCACCACCCGACAAAAAACGCACAAGUUAGUAGCAAAUAAUUACUUUAUAUUACAUUAUUACAUAUACAGAGCAGGUCAAAACCCUAAAAACCUAUUUUUUUUCACACAUCACAACAAACAGGUGGAAGCACUCAAGUGAUAAGCAUACGCGUAAUUGAGAUGAAAUGGACACGCAUGCAAUUAAUUAGCCGCACGAAUUGAAUUGAAAAGGAGAAACCAAUUUGACCCACAACUUUGACAAUUCCUCAAUAAGAACAAAUAUUUAUUUUUAGGAAAAAACAACUAAUUAAUCCAUCGAAACAGUAUUAACCAAAUCAAGAUUAAACACUUAAAAAAAAAUAGAGUUCGAAAAAACGUACCAAAAAUAUAAGUAUAUUUAACAUUUUAUUUUAAAAAUAAACCUGUUAAAUUUUUAUUUAUAAAUAUAGUCUUAUAAAAGCAGUGAAUGAUUUACCGCUUUUAAAAGCGGUGAACAAUUCACCGUUUUUUUUCUUUUUCUCACUUUUUUUUAUAAUUCUACGAUGGUAAACGCGGUGAACCAUUCACCGCUUUUAUUAUUUUUCUACACUUAAACAGAAGUUAUGAAUGCGGUGAAUCAUUCACCGCAUUUAGAGGUUUAUUUUUAUAAUUAUUUUUUUAAGAAAACUAUUUUUACAAUUACAAAAAUAGAUAGGAUUAGUUAUAAAAAAAAUUCAAUGGAAGAGGUGUUAACUAAAUUGCUUAAUUUAAGAGGAUAUCAGCUUCUCAGUACAUUUCCCACCCCAAGGAUUUAAUAUCGUAGCACGGAAUCAUGCCGAAAAUUUGUCAAUACGGUGUGCGUCUGACCGUGCCAAUACAUACCAUAUGCUUACACAUAAUCGAAUAAAAUAUUUAUUUUAAAAAAAAUAAAUUAUGUCAAUUAUUUAUUAUGUAUUUUUAUUAAAUUUUUUAAAUUUUAUUAAAAAAAUUAUUUAUUAAUUUUAAGAACAGAAAAUUUUGAACUAUGUCAUUAAUACGGAGAUUAUAUCGUAUCUUACUGCGACGAUUCGACACGGUGGAUACGGUGAAUCCUUACCCCCUCCCCCCUCGGAAAAAAAAAACCCAAAUCAACAAAUUCAAACAAAAUUAACCCAAAAAACCACCAAAUCGACGAAACCCAACGAAAUUUGUACCAAAAAGCCCAAACAACUUAGAUCGAGAAACGAAACGAAACCAAACCAAACCAAAUACCAAUGCGUGCGUCGGGGGGAGAAGUAAGAGAUGGGGUAGGGAAGGGGCAAAGGGAUCUAAUUACUUGGUGGAGGCCAUGGAGGCUCUGGGGGAUCCGAAGGUGGCGGCGGCGGCGGCGGCGCUCCUGUUGGUACGCGGCGGCGCGAAGCAGAGGGAGCCCAGGGGCUUGAAUGCGAUCCUCGACGCCAUUAAUGGUGGCGGUGGUGAUGGAUUCGGUGAUAAUCCUCUUCUUCCCUGUGGUUCCUUCUUCUUCCUCCUCUUCUAUGGCGAAGAGAGAGAGAGAGAGAGAGAGAGAGAGAGCUCCUGAGAAGAGGCGGAAUCGAAUAAGAGCCACAAACGGGGGGGAGGAGGGGAAGGGGAAAAGACCAGCCACCGCUGCUCUUGUGUGUGAAAUUACUCAUUUGCCCCUCUUCUGAUUUUUCUUCUUCUUUUUAAUUUUUGUUUUAUUUGGCUUUUAUUUGGACGCAUUAGAAGAAAAUUUUUUAAUAGAAAAAAUUCCAAAUAUCACUCUCUCCAGUUUUUAUACUUUCUCACUUUAGUAUCUUAUAAUUUAAAAUAAAUUAAUUUAGUGCCAUACAGUUUUAUUUUUAUCUUUUUCUUAUCGAUUUUACUAAUUAUUUUUAUUAAAUUAAUGACAAAAUUAAAACUAAAGGGUGCUAAAAUGAAUAUUCGAUAAAUCUAGAUGGAGUAUCUGAAGUUUUUUGUAUGUAAUUUAACAAAAUAUUAAUGAAAAAACUAACGAAAGGAUAAAAAUAAAACCACAUGACACUAAUUUGAUGCACUUUAAAGUUUAAACCGCAAAAUACUAAAGUGGAAAAAUACGAAACAACGGGGAUGGUAUUUGAAGUUUAUCCGAGAAAAUAAUAAUGUGCAUAAAUAUAUAUAUACCAUUCAAAAUGGAUACCAUAAAACUAAAAUAAAAUUGUCUUAUAAAUAAAAAAAUAUAUUAUUUAACUAAUUAUAAAUGAUACGAGUUGCUAAAAAGUAAAAAAAUUAAACUUUUAAACUUGUAAUCUCAAAGAAGAAUAUCUAUAGAUAUUUGAUUUUGGCAUCCAAAUAAGUCAUUAGUAUCUCAUUUUAUUUUUAUUCAAAUUUAAUUUAUUUUGAAUUUUUUGUCCCUUUUUUGCAAUCUAUUUGGUAUAAGAAGCAGCCAAAUGUUACUGGGCUAAAGCAAUUUGAAGUUGAAGAUCCCAACAUUCUUUUAAGAUCCAUUUGGUUUUGAAUCUCGCUAACGCUAAUAAUAGAUCCAAAAGAAGGCCAAUUUGCAUAAAAAAUCCACUUAUUUUGGGCUUUUGCAAAAUCGGGCCAUUUUUUUGAUUUUUGCAGAUUCGGUCCGCUUUUUCAGCAAACUGAUCAAAAUACCCUUAUACUUUUUUCUCUUUCCUCUUUCUCUCUCCUCUUUUUUUUCUCUCGUUCUUUUUUCUUUUUCUUCCCAGAGAGCGGCUAAGACGGAGCGGAGGUGCCCUUAUACCUUUUCUUUUCUCUUUUUUCUCUCGUUCUUUUUUUUCUUUCUCUUCCCAGAGAGCGGCAAAGACAGAGCGGCGUCGCCGCCGGCGCCCCCACCUUCCUUACCUCCGAUCCCCCCAAGGCCGGGCUGUGACUUUUUUUUUUUUUUGCAUUUUUCUUUUCUUUUCUUCUCUGACUCUCCUCCACAGUUUCCGACGACGGCGCCUUUCUCGCUCUUCCCUGCCCUUCUCAUCUCUCAUUCUCCCUCCUUCUCUGCCGCCUCCGACGACGAUGCAUCUUCGCCGACACCGUGGAGAUCACUGCGGCGCUGCAGCCUCGGAGUAGGGGGUCUUUAACGGCGUCGUCACUGACACCGUGGCUAUUGACAGAGAGGGUGAUAAAGAAAAAAAAAACAGAAAAAAAAUAAAGAUAAAAAAAUAUAUAAAAAAAGGAUGAAGAUGAAAUUGUAUCGUUAACUACAAAAAAAAUUACAAGUUGCACUACUUAAGAUGAAAACUGUAGCUUUAAGAUGAAAAUUACACUCUUUAAACGAAAAUUACACUAUUUGAAAGAUAUUUACACUGUUUCUCUUCUUAUUGCACUCUUUCAGAUAUAAACUGCACUAACUAAGAUAAAAAUUACACUCUUUAAAUGAAAGUUGUACUGUUUCUUCUCUUGUUGCACCGUUUCUCCUCUUGUUGCAUCAUUUCUCCUCUUGUUACACUGUUUUUUAUUUUAAACUACGCAUGUUUAACAGAUAUUUAUACUGCUUCUCUUCUUGUUGCACUGUUUCUCCUCUUGUUGCACUGUUUCUCCUCUUUAUCUUAAACUGCACCCAUUUAUCUUAAACUGCACCCAUUUAAGAGAUAUUUAUGCUGCUUCUCCUCUUGUUGCACUGUUUCUCCUCUUUAACAAGAGGAGAAACAGUGCAACAAGAGGAGAAGCAGUAUAAAUAUCUGUUAAAGAUGUGCAGUUUAAAAUAAAAAACAGUCCGACCCCGUUCGCCGCGGCCGCUGCCGCUGCGGCGACGGGAUCGGGCUGGGGGUCCGCGGCGGACGCGGCGUCUCGACGUCGUCGUGGGAGAAGCAGAGGCGCUGGUCGGCGGCUUCUGCGCGGCGGCGGGAGGAGGGGCAGCGCCGACGGAGAAGAACACGCGCGGCGCUGGUGCCGGCGCCGGUUGCGCUUCCGCCUCCCCCUCCUGCGCCCUGCCGCUCGGCCUCCCCUUCUUCUUCUUCGCCGUUGUCUUCUUCUCCGCAUCCAGCCCGACCCCGUUCGCCGCGGCCGCUGCCGUCGCAGCGACGGGAUCGGGCUGGGGGUCCGCGGCGGCGGAGGAGAGGAGGAGGGGGUCGCGGGCGGUGGAGAGGAGGGUGAGGAGGGAGGCGACGGUGAAGAAGGAUGGUGAGGAGGGAGGCGACGGUGAAGAAGAAGGCGACGGUCCGCCUUUUUUUUUUGGCGAGAAAAAAAAAAAAAAACGACAGAAACGAAGAGGAGAGAGAAAGAGGAAAGAGAAAAAGUAAUAAGGGUAUUUUGGUCAGUUUGCUGAAAAAGCAGACCAAAUCUGCAAAAACGAAAAAGAUGACCCGGUUUUGCAAAAGCCCAAAAUAAGUGGAUUUUUUAUGCAAAAAGGCC